UCGGGUGAUGGGGCGCGAUUGUGGCGGUUGAGAGGACAGGAUAAAGAAGGGACGUGCGGCUGGUGUUUUCGCUAGCGAAUCGUUAUUUUACUUAGGUGCGGAUUGCGGGUUGAUUUUAUGUAAACCGAGGGGCUUUUUUGAAAAACUGCCACGACGACGGACGACCGAAACCCUAUUCUCUUUAUUAUUACUAGUACAAAUGCCCGUGCAUUGUAACGGGCUUGAGCUGUGAUUUAUUAAUCAACAUGAUAACUCACACCGGUGGGACAUGGAACCAUGUUUUACAAAGCUUAUUCAUAAAACCUUCCUUAGUUAAAUAUGGGCAACUUUGUUUACCAAACGACACACCCAGCAAACCUUAUACUUCGCAAAGUCCUAAAGAAGUUCUUUGUCAUUACACACCAUUAUUUAUAUCUAGUUCUAAUAAAUGUCUAUAUUAAUGUUGCACUGAUUAUUGCUUCUCGGUUGAAUUUUUUCGUUAAGAAGCCAAUUUGGCAUUCUUCUGAUUGAAGAGUAGUUCAUGGAAUAGUCUCCGAAUCAGUUUUCUUUUUUUCCUUUCAAAAAAAAAGGUUUUUCUUGAUAAAAACAAAUACUUUAUUAAAAAAUAGAAAAUAGUGAGUUUUGUUUUAGCAUUUGUAAAUGCAUUUUUUAAAUGGAACAACUUUUGGCAAUUUUGAUCGGUUUUUAAGAAGUGUGAAUAUAUAUAACGGUGUACUUAUUAUAAAACUAUUUUUACUAAAUUGAGUUUUUUUAGAUAUAUAAGUUUAUUGUUUGGUCGGGAAUCGUUAUUCUUGUAUUUUUCAUUAUUUGGGCUUGGCCCAAACAAAGCACUUACAUAGACACUUCACGUACAUAGAGAACACUUUGGUAUUAAAAAAGGGAGUGUCUAUAUUACAAUCGACUGAAAUUGAAUUGGCCUUCAAUCAAAUAUGCCAACCAUUAACAAUCAGACACAAACGGAAAAUGAUAACUUGACUGAAAAUACAGGCACUACAAACAUGGCACGUGUAUGUAUGACCUAUGCGCUCUAUGAUCCAUGAGCAAACAAUGGAAGGGCCCAAAAAGCAACACCGCCACGUCAGUACUCUCACGACCUUCUCCAGGUUAUUGACAAUUUUGUUUUCUUCACAACACUUUUGGAAGAAAACCUGAAAUUCUCAUAACAUUAUCAAGGAUAUGAAGUUGCUUGAAACAGGAACAAUUCACAGAAAAUAACUGACUCAACUACCAGGACGGACAAGAUGCUACACAAAACCAGUUUGAUGAUAUAGGACUGUAUAACCGUGAAACUGUAAUUUACAGAAAUGUACAGCAAGGCAGCAAGCUAUAGAAAGCUUCUUUUAAUUUAUUUUAAAGAACUAACCUUGUACCAUGUUUCCAGGUCCCGCAACAAACACAAGGAGAUGAAGCCAGUAUUGAUCCAGCUUCUUCAAAUCCCUGGAAAGUAGGAUUUCUCGACAAUCUAAGCUUAGACAAGGUAAUUAAGAAACAUCAAGUAGAAACUUAAAUGUAAACACAUAUUCAGGUUGCAUCAGCAACAAAAUUCCUGAAAAAGGAAAAAAAAAAGCAUACACUUGUAGCAGGUUAGCUGAAGAUGAAGGAUCCAUCAUGUUACAAGGAAAUUCAUACACUUCAGACAAUGUGCCAUAUGUGUGGGACAUAAAGAGAGUAAUAAUGAAGCUAAGAAAAGCAUGGAUAACCAUCAGUUACGGUAGACUAAAAAGGAAGAUGAGUAUUUAAAUGAAGAGGGUAUUGAGAAUUUAUUGGAAAAUGAAAAUACUGUAGCCCACGAAGGAAAUGUCAGGAACACUAAGAGCAUUAUAAUGCCACACCUGGAAAUGGAGUUCAACACAAGAGAAGGACAAGAAUUCUUCGACUUAUAUUUGAGCAUCGAGAGCAGCAAACAAGAAGAGGAACCAUGAAUAUUAAAGAAUCACAAUGAACUGUAACAAACAUGGCAAAACAAAAGAAGUAGAAAGAGAAAGUAUAGUACCUAUUAGAAGGACAACAGUUAUAGCAAAAUCAGAGUGCUAGGUAGUGAUGGUGAUCUCAGAAAGAGGUGGCCACUGGAAAAUUCACUAUCAGCUCACUGUAAAAACACAGUCACAAAAGAACUACUAAAAUUUACAGAAGCUAUAGGACCAUAAAUCCAUCAUCAAUGUAUUAUAAAUUAAACACCAGGAAACUCUAAUAUACAUUCAGACAAAUUCAUGUGAUCAAGCAUUCUAUAUGAAUUCACUGUACGAACAACAAUGACACACUAUAUGGAGCUACUACAAUAAAUUGCAAAAUCUGUAGGGCAGUGUAAAUCCACCAUCACCAUACUGUAAAUUCAAAAUCUAUAGGACAGUGUAAAACCACCAUCACCAUACUGUAAAUAUGCAGCCAGAUUAGUUUGUCUGAUGAAGUAUUACUCGAGCAGUUUAAAUGAUGUACCUUGCCUACAUGGGUGGAUGUAAUUCCGAUGAAGUCGGCAGUGCGGAGAAAUUCCGGCCAGGUUGGCAGAACAACGAGAUUUCCAUGACUUCGGCAGAACGGCAAGACACCAAUGUUGAGCACAGACGAAAUUGAGAUGUGUUUAAAGUAUGACCAGCAGCUGCAUUCAGCUCAACUUAACUCAGAAAACAAAUACGCGCAAAGGGAAAUUCAAAAGAAAUACAAUAAUUGAUAGAAACCUAGAUGAAACUGAGUAAGAAAUAGCUCAGAUUAAGCAUUCAUAAUUUGAUUUUGCAAUAAGAAUCAUAACUUGGUCAGAAAAUAAAAUACCUAAGACUCUGAUGUAUGGGUUUGCUCCAACUCCGGAAGAUGUUUUUUGGGGGCAGUGUUUUCUAUUGCAGGAAGUCUAACACAAGAUUGUGCAUCAGUUUUAUGCCAACUAUGUAUGGAUAAAGUAAUAUUUACUGAAUACAAUUCAGAAAAAAAUGCCGCCAACUACAGGUAGUACCCAGAAAGCUAGUAGCUACAUAGGUUCAUGGCAUAGCAAGGAAAUUCCAAUAUGUACAUAUCAACCAAAAACUCUAAUUUGAAAGAUUGAAAAGCUACACCUGAAUGCAUCUGUAAGACAGGACGAAAACUAAUGUUCUACAAGGGAAAGAAAGAGGUCGCGGGUCAGCAAUCGCAAGAUGACCUGGGGCUUGGCGUGACCACAUGAUGCAAGGGGCUGCAACUCCGGCUAGCCACCGGCGAGCAGCAUCAGGACCACCGCUCCCUUCUCUCUCCCUCUAGCCUCCCAUCUUCUUCCCAUCCUCUCUUUUCUCCGCCGCUCAUCUCUCUAUUCUCUCACCGGCGUCGGCCAUGUCGCACCCGCCAGCCUCGUGCCACCAAUAUUAGCAUUUGCAGCAGCUAUAAGCUCAGCAGAAUUGUCAUCAAUCAUGUCUAUGUCAUCUUCCAUCUCACAUUCACCUGCUAGAAGUGGAUGCAGCAAGAGAGGAGACAUACAAGCAACAACUGUUGAUGGAGUCAUUCGAUUCUCAGUAGUAUGAGAAGCAACAAUGUGCAUCAUCCUCAAAAUUGUACAGACAUCAUGUUUAUGAGCUAAUUGAAAAAUUAACCUAAUUACUGAAAAGGGGAGCUCUCCUCUAUGUUGCACCCAUGAAAGGGGUGGAUGGGUGGAUCCAGAUCGAGCACACACACACACAAACAGAGGAGGAUCGGGAGGUGCUACCUCGAGGGAGUUGGUCGGUCGAUGGAGAGCGGCAGUGAUAGAGAGGGGAAAGAUGAGUUGGGGAAGGUGCGGCGCCGGCGUUGCUUGUCGCCGGCAGUGGAAAGCCACAGGGGUGGAGGCACGUCGGGUAGGGGUGGGAGCGGCGGCGUUGGUCGGCAGUGGCGACGCACGGCGGAGGGGCGNNNNNNNNNNNNNNNNNNNNNNNNNNNNNNNNNNNNNNNNNNNNNNNNNNNNNNNNNNNNNNNNNNNNNNNNNNNNNNNNNNNNNNNNNNNNNNNNNNNNNNNNNNNNNNNNNNNNNNNNNNNNNNNNNNNNNNNNNNNNNNNNNNNNNNNNNNNNNNNNNNNNNNNNNNNNNNNNNNNNNNNNNNNNNNNNNNNNNNNNNNNNNNNNNNNNNNNNNNNNNNNNNNNNNNNNNNNNNNNNNNNNNNNNNNNNNNNNNNNNNNNNNNNNNNNNNNNNNNNNNNNNNNNNNNNNNNNNNNNNNNNNNNNNNNNNNNNNNNNNNNNNNNNUGGCGGCGCACGGCGGCGUGGCACGGGACGGUGGCGCAAGGCGGAGGGGCGGGGGCCGGUGGUGGCGGCGCGCGGCGGCAUAGCAGGGGGCGGCGGCGCACUGUUGGUGGAGACGGAAAGUAAGGUCGUGGGUCUCGGGUCGUUUUUUUUUCUCACCCGCACCGAUUCGGCUCGAAUGUAAUAAUAGGACUGCGGGUUGAUUUUGAAGAAACACGGGGACUUUUUUGCAAAACCUCCACGACGGACGAAGCCAUACCUGGUUUAUUAGUAUAUAUAUAUAUAGGUAAAGAGGUAAAGAUAAAGAUAAAGAUAAAGAGGUAAAGAUAAAGACUAGGAACGCACCACCGUAUCGGUAGAAGACAGACGCAAGGGACACAAGAGUAGUCAGUAGUGGGCCCAAAGGACGGUAUAUCUCCUGAAGAUACCGUGCACCACCCAUGCACGCACCAGAGCGCGGGCGGCGGCAUCGUGGCUGCCGUCCCCGGCCGGACGACGCCACCGGACAAGCCUCCCCGCGGACUCCACGAUGCCGCCCGCGCGCCAAAACCGAGCCGACCGCGCUUUUAAAACUCACCAAUCCGCCCCCGCGAUACACCCCACACGGACGGACGGAGCUCGCGACAUGGAGGCCGAGACGCUCGAGUGCGGCGGCGACGCGGCGGCGUUCGUGCUCUCGCGCCUGCCGCACCCGGACGACGCGGCGGCCGGGGCGCGCGCGGCCUACGUCAACGCCGCCACGGGCCGCGCGCUCUCCUUCGCGGGCCUGAGCGGCGCCGCGCUCUCGCUCGCCUCCGCGCUGCGCCUCGGGCUCGGCCUCCGCCGCGGCGACGCCGUCCUCGUGGCGCUCCCCGCGCCCGACGACGACCCGCUGCUGCUCCCGCCCGUCCUCCUUGGCGUCCUCGCGGCCGGCUGCGUGGCCGUCCUCGCUGCCCCGGGCGCCAGGGUAGACGCCGUGGCGCGGGAGUCCGGCGCCGCGAUCAUCGUCGGCGCGCCGGGGACGGGCGGCGGCCUGCCGCUGCUGCUCAUGUCGAGGUCGUCGGACCCACGGACUGUGUCCGUGGAGGAGCUCAUGGAAGGCGGCGACCCGGCCGCGCUCGACGCCGUCGCCGCAGACCGGCCAGACCACUGGGACCCGGCCCUCGUGGUCCACUGCUCGUCGGCGACCAACAAGGUGGCCAUGACGCACGCCGACCUGAUCGCCGCCGUGGCUGGCGUGGCCUCACCCGACGAAGACCGGGUCUGCCUUGCCACACUCCCGGCGUGGGGAACCAGCGUCCACGGCGGCGUGGCACUGCUCGCCCUCGGGCUCCCGGCGGCCGGAGCCACCACGGUGCUCCUGCCGCCUUCCUCCGACCUGCGGGCCGCGGUGGCCGCCCAUGGCGCCACCGACGUCGUGGCGACCCCCGAGGCGGCCGCAGCGCUCUUUGCUCCCGGGCUGCCGCAGGGGAAGCUCGCCACGCUGCGGAGGGUGAUAGUGGUGACGCCGCUCGCAGAUGACGCACGGCAGGCGUUCCGCCGCAGGCUAUCGUGGGUCGAUCUGGCUGAGAUAUCCGGCGCGCUGGAGAUGGGAGCAGCGACGGCGGAGUCGCCGGAGCAGGUGAAGGUGGCUCCUGCACCUCUGGGGCCUCUGCUGCUCGUGCAACCUGAUGCUGCAGCCACACAGUAAGAUUGCCCUGAGCCCCUGACUCUAUACACAUUACCAAUUUGCCACACAAUCCAGAGAAUUACUACAUCACUUAACCAUCUAUACAUGUUCAAAUAUUUCAGGCUGAAGGGCAAAAUACCAGACCAAAUGCCAUCGCCAAGCGAGGCUACCUCUCUGGUAAGAAUCCAUUUAUGCACUGAACAAACCAAAUUUAUAUAUAAAAAAAAAACCGGCACAUAACACUCACACCUGAACCAGAAGUAUGUAAAUUUACGCUAUAAACAAUGUAUUUUCCACCCAGUCGCCUGAACCAAUGAGCAUAUUUGUAUACCAACUCCAGAAAGGUUAAAACAAAAAACAAGAGCUAACAUCCCCAGCCAAUUAUAUUUCCAGUCCGGUACAAUCUUAGGUAUACUUGUCAUAUAUAUGGUACCACCAUGCUUUUGCUGUGCAAUGUCUAAACAGGCCGCCUACGGAAAAUUUCUACCAGGUGUCGCCGCUUCAGAAGAUCCAAAAGACUGUUCUCAGUGACGCCUUCGCAAAAUCAGUCGCGGGCAAGUUCUUGAGGAGGAGCCCGGUGGCCUGCGACAAACAAGCCGUCUCAAAACUGUAGCAGCUUCGCCUCCGUUUCGCUGCUGGGUGGCUGCCUGUCUUGAAGGACCUGGCAUAUAGAAUGCUUAAAGAGUUACAAGUGCUCCCGGAAGUUGUACUAUCACAUAUCGAGCCAUACGAAAAAUUGAAAGGGGGUCUGUAAAAGGAGAACCGAUAGUUUUUACGGACUCUAGUUUAGCGAAAUCAAGGUUGUCUUGGUGGACCUGACAUAUAAUGCUUAAAGAGUUACAUACACUCUUUGUAAGUUCAAUUAUGAAAUAUUGAGCAAGUUGAGCAGAGGUGGCCUCAACGGUAGGGAAAUCAGUAUAACACGGGUCAAAUACAUGAAACGGAAUGCAGCUUUGGAAUACAUUUACAUUUCUCUGCCUCCAGGAUUUUGCUGUCCUUGGUUCUGUAAGCAUACAAGAAACUGUUUCGGGAAGAAAAAAAAAUAGAGAGAGAUAAACGUCAAAAAUCUAAACUAGGGCACAAGAUUUCAUCAUACAUGAGUUGCAUAUAUGUGCGGUAACACUUUGUUAAGAAAAGUUUGUUUCCUGGUUCUCUUUCCAUAAAGCAGCAUAGAUGCCAAAAAAAUGCAGGCAAUCACCCUUUAAUGUUCAUUUCACAAAUCAUUCUACAUUACGCAUUAACUAUUUGCUUACAUAAUAUAUGAUCUAGAACCAUGCAUUGUAUCCUUGAAAGCAGGGAUCACAUCAACCUCUACAAAAUUCUUGCGCAAAAUGAUAACCAUGAAGCUCUGACAAUAGCUUAGCACAGUAACACAUAAGUACAUCAGAUAUUUUUCCAUUCAAGCAUGUUGCACGCAGACUUACUAUUCAUUGUCGGAGACCUCUGCACUUCCUCCCACCCACUUCCACACGCCCCCUGAUUUCCGUCUCUGAGAAGUCGUCAUGGUUUGUUCCGCCUGAGAUAUUUGUUGCUGCAAGGCUUCCAGUUCAUUUUCCAGAGAACUAGCAGACUCCAACCUUUUAUGCGCAGCAGCAAUUUGGGACUGAAUUGACCAGAGAAAAGAAGAGGUAAGCAAUCAGCAGCAUAAAAAGGAGAAUUGAAAAUACAUGUGUCCACGCUCAGAACUAAUUAUAGUACGCAAGUUCAGAACCUCCAGUUUCUGGCAUCUUGAACCCUCAGCAGCUAGCUGAUUCUCAACUGAUCUAAGUUCCUUCAUAAGAAAAAUAAAAAACAGUGGAAAUUCGUAUGGUGAAUAAGAAUGUCCUUCUGCAGUAUGGAAAGAAAGUUUGCACUCUCAAAGAAACAAAUGGAAUGACAGUUUACCUUUGUCAAUUCAUUGUGGGACAACUUCACCACAUCUAGUUUAUCCUUUAGCUUUGAGUUUUCAGUGCGAACUUCUGCCAGUCGAGACUCUAGUUCUCCUUUCUCCCCAUUAAGUGCAUCAAUUUCGGCAACCAUUUCUUUGGAAGAACUUCCAGGUUCAGCUCUCUUCACAUCCAAAUCAUCAGUAGCAACAAUAUCUUUAGUUUUCUCAUCAGUAGCAGUUAUUGCAGCAUAGGCAGCUUUCACAGAAGCUGCAGCAGCAGCGGCUGCUGGAGAUUGGAAAAGCCGAGGUUGCACAAAGUUUCUUGGUUUGGGUUUCAUCACAAAGAUCUGCAGUAGUGUCAUUUUUUUCAUUAGGCGUAUGCUUAACUGAAACAAAGCGCACUAAAAAUUGCUAACGGAAACAAAGAGUACUGAAAAGGGAAAAAAGAAGAAUAUGUAACUUCACCCUAAACCCAAAAACCCCAACUAGAGGGACCACACAGAGACAAUGGCAUGACAACAGCCAUCAAAAGAGAAAAUCCUACAGGUGGAUCAUUUUGAACAAAAUACUAUGCAUGGUCGUUAUUUGCUCAAAGCAAAUACCUCAUUGUUGUACUUCCCAUUGUAACCACCAAAGGCAAUUAGAAACUUUUCGCCAUCAACUGUGGUUGAACAAAGAGUGAGGCCCUGAAAAAUAUGUUAAGAAGUCAUGAUUCACCACAUGAUGAAAAGCUAAAGCUCUAAAUAUUCAUAGUUAUGCACUUCCUAGAACAUGAAUUUGUAUGACCAAUCUUUAUGACUGAACAUGUCAGCAGCAAUGUGCAAAUACUGCUUACCUCACAAGCAAGUGGAUCUCGAACUGACACACUAGUGACCACAGACCAGACAAACUUGGAAGCGUUCAUUACGAUUGUAUCAGUGGAACCUACAACAUGUGCAUUUCCUUAGAUACCGGAGCUGAAAGAACAGCACAAAAGGAAUUUAAUAAAAACAUAUAAAUACUGUAUCAUGCAUCCAGGCAUUACCACUGGCAUUAUCUCCACCACCAACUAUGUACCAAUCUUCGUCAAUCAUCAUACCAGCAUGGCCACUCCUAGGAGUUAUAUGUGCACCUUGAGUGUCAGGUUGAGACCACUCCAGCUGUUACAAUUAAACGUUAUUUACGUAAACUUAUCAGUCGAAUCCUAAAGACGUGUUAAAUUUGGCUCAAGAGGAAAAGCCCUCUAAAGUAUCCCUUAUGUGUACAGUACAACAUAAUAUGAUAAGCAUAUCUGCAUGUCAUUUCAUGAUGCAUUGAUAUGUAGUUAGCGAUAGUGAAAUGGAGUUGGAUCCUAGUCAUUUGAUUGGAACAGUUUAACCCUGCAGUUACUAUUAACUUGAUAAAAUUUUGACUUGCAACUCCUGCUACAACCUAGAACAAUUAAUGUGGAGAACUUUGACGAUCUUUAAUGGGUUUACAAAGAACAACUAAAUAUCAGCUAAUUUAUCAAAUAAACUUUGGCUUUGCAGAUUUACAGAAUGUGAGUUGAUGCACAAGUGUACUUGUAUAGCAAAAUACAUAAGAGCAUUCAGUGCUUACAGUUUGCAAGUCAAGUAAGUACAGAUCGUUGAAGCAUGUGGAGUGAGAGGAACCGCCAAAGAUUAAAAGAUAAUGUUCAGCAUAAACAGCAGCCGAAUGAUCAUACCUAGGAGCUGGGCCACCUUUUCUGUUUCACAAUAACAAACAGAACGAUGAAUUCAGCAUUCAGCAAGUGGUUAGAAAUACCUUAAGCGAUAUUUAGCAUAACUAAUAAGUAAACUCUUACUCUGUUUUAACUUCUUCCCAAAUCAUUGUCUCCAAGUCAAGUACAUGAAGAUCACUCAGAAGCCUCCUCUUAUUAUCCUCUCCACCAAACAUUAUUAAUCGAGAACCGACUAGUGUUACAGAUUGCCCACCUCGAGCCAUCUGGUGGAGGGAGGAUUCAGAACAUGUUCUCCAGUAAAUUAAUGUAUAACCACAGGAGAGACAAGAUUCUUACUGGGACUUUUCCAUAUGUAUCAACAGCAGACCAGCUAUUUGUUUCCAGAUCGAUAAACCAAACUGCAGGCAGAAAUACAAUGCAAUCAGUUCUAGUACUUGUAAAGUCAUCUGGAAGAUAACUCCAAAACAUGAAGAGGCAAUGUUAAAGCACAUAUCAUUAUGCUAAAAUAUAUUAGGUGUUAGAAAGAGGCAACAUUCUUUGUCAAGCAACCGGCAGGAGCGCUGCCUUUCAUGGAGAAAAAUAGAGGUAAUAAUCACAAACACAGGGCCAUGUCAUUAUGGGGAACAUGCCGAUACCCCCUGGAUACACUGGGUGACUACUCAUGGUCGUGGGCCUUCGCUACACAGAGCUGCCAAACCAAAGGCAAUGGAAACUGGAAAGAGGCAAUUUUUGGAAUUUGGGGAAAAUGUAACUUGUGAAAUUGAGAUGAAGCAUGUUGAUUCACUACAAGUUUAACACGUGAUUAAUCAGCAUGUAAACAGCACAAUGAAAUGAAAUAAAUGUAUCCAUUAUAAUACCACAAACAGUAAUUGAGAAUCAUCCCUGUAGUACUGCUUAUUUUUCAAAUCUGAAAUUUCGCCAGAUGCAUAUGGACUGACAUAGACUAAGAAAUAAUCCACCUUAAAGUGAAAUAUGUGCACACAUCCGUUCAUGUACGACACUAGAACAACUCUAUGAUCGUGCAACUUACAACAUUUAGGGGUGUCAACAAAUAUGUCAUAGUUUUCGGUGGUGGUGCGGAACCAUAAAGUGAUAGUCGAACUAUUACUAGGUAUGUUUAAGCAAAGCCAUGACCCGGAAUUUGCUGCUCAACGUUUUAGUAUGAACCAAGAAAGAGGGAAAUCCAAAGAAGCACCUGAAACCUUAUUCGAUGUUGAUGCUCUGGAGUUCCCAGCUACAACCAGAAGCAUGUUCCUCCACUCGACCUGAAUGAAAACACUAGUCAGCAUAAAAAAUGACACUCUUUCGCUCAAAAGGUUUAACGAUGCUUAGGAAAAGUUUAGUUAAUUCUCCGCAGAAAUGGAAGAUGAUAUCAUUACCAUACUAUGGCUUGCUAAUGCUGGGAACGGCUGGUUUCCGGCAUUAUUUUCAAGAUUCAGCUGGUUUGAAUCUCGACUAGGACUUAACAGUAACGCUGACCACUUGGACGUCCUGAAAUCAAAGACCUGCCAAAAUUGCAAUUGUUAGGAUAUGUUUCAGGUGAUGAAGGAACAGAGGGGAUAUGAUGAGUAAACAUGCGUGAGUGCCAAACCUGAACAUCUGACAGAGAGCGCCCAUUCCGGCUUCCCCCGACCACGUACAGCUUGUCUUGAACCACCUCCGCGGCAUGCUGUCAUGUAUUUAGCACCUCCGUACUCAGUAGUCAUUACAGAAUAAACAAAACGCAAUGCAAGGAAGUCGCGCAGCACGAAGGAACACUGGAUCGGCACGCCGGCCAGUCAUAUGAUCCUUGGCGUACAUUACGUCUGAAGAUUUGAUAAGCAUGUUUUUGCCGUGUCAAGUUUAGAUCACAGUGCGCAACAAUAACUUGAGUAACUUGCUAACUCCUGUCCUGAUAAACUCCCCUGUUUCGAUCAGCUAGCCGAAGAGAGCGGGACAGGACGGAAAUGACCGUCUGCCUCUACCCUGAACAUUCCUCGUGCGCAUGAACGCGGUGCCUAGUCACAUCUCGCAUCCCAUGUAUUCGAUCCCAGCAUCCCUACGCACGAGCCAAUGGCUACGGGGCGGAUCAGGACGGGACAACAGGGCAGAUCACUGAUAUCAGAGACAGGAACCGCGACGGCCAAAUCGGAGGAGAAUUGCGCGCGCACCUUGUAGCGGGCGGAGGGGCGGGCGGAGCCCUGGGCGGGGCGGAGCAGGACCCAGCGGUCGUGCGGCGCCGCCGCGAGGCCGGGCCCCUCCUCGCCGCCGUUGAUGGCGCCCUCCUCCUCCUCCACCCCCAUUCCUCCGCCUCGCUCCGGCAGGAAUCGAGAUCGCGGGUCGGGCGGAGGGAAGGAAGGGAGGAAGCUUCGGUGCCGCGGCGCGCGUCGGUGGCCGGCGGAUUGACUUGGUCGGCUCGUCGGAUCUGGAGCGGUUUUAAACCCGGGAAAGCGAUUAGGGUGUGCCGGGGAGGAGAGUGGAGCGGUGGUGGACUCGUCGUCGCUGCCUACCUUCGCCGCUUUGCGUACCUGUCACGUCCCUUCUUCUUACAAGAGACGCAUGUGCGUCAACGCAACAGCGAAGGCGUAUUUCGUCUCAUCAAAAAGAAAAAAAGCGAAGGCGUAGGCAUAUUCCGUCCGAUGCGUAAACGCGCAUCAAAGGCGCCUCUCCCAAUACCGAGUCUUUGCAGCACAAGGAUGACUCUUACUUGGGUUUUUUUUUUUUUUGCGAACUCAAACUUUGUAUUACUCAAUCAAGGUCUCAUUACAAUCCUCAUCAACUAACUCCAAAACUUCAGGAGGACCUGAUCCUAACCAAGUCAUAGUCCUAUUAUUAAGACGACCAAAAGCAGCUAAUUUGUCACUCGCUUUAUUCUGCGAGCGAGCGACAUGAGUAAUACAAAUUUGAUGUGAAUUCACCAACUCUCUAAUCUCAUUCACCAACGAAGAAUAAACCGAUCGAUCGAUAGACCCACAUGUGAUCAUAGACACCGCAACCAUAGAGUCCAACUCGACCUGGAUCGGCAAAGUUGUGCGUUGUAUCGAGGACGACAAUCCCUCCAAAUAGGCACAUAAUUCCGCCUCCAACGCAUCUCUCCAAGAUAAUAAUGCCCUGCAAGCUGAGAAGAUGAUUUUUCCUGAUUCGUCCCGCAAUAUCAUGCCCGCUCCAGCUUCAUUGCUUGACACAAACGCAUCAUCCGUGUUCAGUUUUGUCCAUCCCUAAUUAGGUUUUAUCCAUCUAGGCAACAUGACAUUAUGACUAACCGCCUGAACCCUGGUAUGCAAUGUAGUGGAAGCUUUACCUUUCCCUGGAUCAGCUCCAUUGUCAUUUUUGAUGGCCAAUAGUGAGUCCAUAUAGCCCUGGAGAAACCUAACCGACACGUCCAUUAGCGGAGCCGGUUUGUGAUGCACCACCUCAUUGCGUAUAUACCAGCUCCGCCAGAAAACAAGAAGAAGCGUACAUCUUUCCAUCUCAUUUCUCUGUGCUAGUAACUGUAGUAGCCACUCCUUCCCACAAUUUACUAUUGAUUGUAGUUAAGGAAGUCUCCAUAUUUUCGCCAUUUUUACAUAUAGAUCUCUGCCAAAUUGACAGUUCAAAAACGGGUGAAAGUUGUCCUCCGUCUCAAGCCCACAAACUGGGCAAACAUCUGUAAUUUCCAGUCCAAUCUUAUGCUUGUUUUUCCAUGUUGGCAGCCCAUCAGUCGCAACCCUCCAUGCAAAAUUCGCCACUGAAGGCGGGACACCACAGUUCCAAAUAAACUUCCAGCAGCUCCUUGCUCCCGACGGCGCUGAACUAGUUGACGCAGCAGUAGCUUUGUGGGCCUCGUCAAACGCCAAGUGAUAAGCACUUUUUACAGAAAAAACACCGAAUUUGUCAGGCCCCCACGCAAUGACAUCUUCUUCUCGCCUCGGGGAGACUCUGAUUUUCAAGAUCUCCAACACAUCUGCUUGCAUGAAAUAUUGGUUGAGAGUCUGAACCUUCCAAGAUCCAUUUUCAUUCAACAAGUCGGACACAUAGCGAAUACGACACACACCCUGCCUUGAGAUCGGUUUAUAAGAAAAAGACCGUGGAAUCCAACUGUCCCUCCACACUCAAAUGCUUCUUCCAUUGCCCACUCUCCAUAUCAAUCCUUUCUUCAAUAGCUCCAAACCAUGACUAAUAGCCGACCAGGAUGAAGAAGCAUUACCAGAAAACACCGUGUCUUCGAGCUUACCAACCGUGUAGUAUUUUGAUUUAAGCAAACAUGCACACAAACUCUCAGGCCUUGUUAACAGUCUCCAGGCCUGUCGAGCCAACAGGGCUUGGUUAAACAGACGAAAGUCUCGAAAACCGACACCCCCCUCUCUUUGGGCUGCAUAAGAUGAUCCCAUCCCUUCCAAUGAACCUUCCUCUUGCCCUUCUCCGACCCCCAAUAGAAAUUUCUGACCAUUCUAGUCAGGUCAUCACACACCGAGAACGGUAACUUGAAAACACUCAUUAGGUAAGUGGGUAACGCUUGUGCAACAGACUUGAUAAGAACCUCUCUUCCCGGUUGCGCCAGAUAACCAUCACCCCACUGAACAAGUCUUUUGGUCAGACUUGUUUGAAGAUUUUGGAACUUUCCUUUAGACAUGCGUCCCUCGGGGGUGGGGAGUCCCAAGUACUUCUCUUCAAACACUAAACUUGUAACUUUGAGGACAUCCCGUACCUGCUCUUGAACCGUGAACCGGGCACGCUGCACCAAAAAACACCGAGCACUUGUCGUAAUUCAGACUUUGGCCCGUGGCCGUACUGUACAGGUCCAAGCUUGCUUUAACCUGCUCUGCUUGAUCCCUUGAAGCCUGGAAAAACAACAUAGUGUCAUCUGCAAACAAUAAGUGGGAUAUGCCUGGUGCUCUUCUACAAAUUUUCACGGGUGAAAUAACUCCAUCCUGCACCCUGCUUCUCAGAAUAGCUGAAAGACCAUCUGCCACAAAUAAGAAUAAGAAUGGAGAGAGUGGGUCUCCUUGCCGCAGCCCACGCGACGGUGCAAAUGAAUCCAGGAGAGUUCCAUUUAAUUUUACUGAGUAUCUCACCGACGUGACACACGCCAUUAUCCAGUCAAUCCAUCGAUGAGAGAAACCCAACCUUUGCAUCACUUGCUUCAAGAAAGCCCUAUCAACCCGAUCAUAAGCUUUAGAUAAGUCCAACUUAUAUGCACAAAAACUUUUUGUAGGAUCCUUCUCCUAUUUAAUAUAGUGUAAGCACUCAAAGGCAACCAACGCGUUAUCUGUAAUCAUCCUGCCAGGGAUAAAGGCACUUUGCUCCACCGAAAUUAUAUCAUCCAACAAAGGUCGUAAACGAUUAACUAAACACUUGGAAAUUACCUUAUAGCUCACAUUACAAAGACUUAUCGGUCUGUAGUCUGACAUACGUGAGGGGUUAGAUAUUUUUGGGAUGAGCACAAUCGAUGUAUCAUUAACUCCCUCGGGCAUAUGUCCAGUGCUGAAAAAGUCCCUAACCGCAGCCAUCACUCCCUCCUUAACAGUAUUCCAGUUCCGUUGGAAAAACCUCGCGAGGAAGCCAUCGGGGCCUGGUGCCUUCAAAGGCCCGAUCUGAAACAACGCAUCCGAUAUCUCCUUAUCCGUGAAUGGCGCACACAGCCUAUCAUUAUCAGCCGACGACACCACUCGCUCAAACAAAUCCACCACCCCUCUUGCAUCUAGGGUGGUAUCCGCGGCAAAGAUCUUGUGGAAAUAUUCAGUAGCGAUCCUACUCAUAGCUGAAAACUCCGUGUGAACUGUUCCAAUGCUGUCCGACAGUUCCCUAAUUUUAUUCUUCCUCGCUCUCCAAACUGCUUUGCUUUGAAAAUACUUUGUAUUACGAUCUCCCUCUUUAAGCCAAGAAAUCCGUGAUCUCUGCAUCCACAACAUCUCUUCCUGAUAUAACAGUUCAUUCAUUUUAUCCAUCACUCUUCUUAUCUCUUCCCUGUCUGCAUUCAUAUGCAUAAGCUCUUCCAGUUGAUUUCUUGACUUCGCAAGCUCUCUAGUCACAUUGCCAAACUUUUUGCUCCACGGCCCUAAAGCUGUCAUGGUUUUAGAUAGGGCUUCUCUCAAUUGUGAGAGGUUCUGGAUCACACCUACAGCUCCCCAUGCAUCUUCCACCACCUUUGGCAAGGCUGAGUCCCGUUCCCAAAAGACUUCGUAUCGUCUACACCUCCCCCUCACCGGGCCUGGGUCCGGCUCUCCCUUAAGAAACACCGCAAGAUGAUCAGAGCAUGGAGAUGGUAUCUGCUCUACUACAACAAAGGCGAACAGAUUGGGCCAAUCAUUUGUGGCCACUGCCCGAUCGAGUCUCACCUUAACAUUAGACGAUCUGCCCCGUCUGUUAUCAUAAGUGACCGGUAGGCCUGUGAACCCAAGAUCCACAAGCUCACACACCUCCAACAUGUCCCUGAAGGCUACCAUCUGCGCUUCCGCUCGUGGCGUGAUCGAAAGGUGCUCAAAGUCCCACAUAGCUUCGUUAAAAUCACCAAUUACCAACCAUGGCAGAUUAUUAGUAGUUUUCAGUCUCCGUAACUUAGCCCACAUUAGGUGUCUGUUUUCCACCCGUGGCUCUCCAUACACAAAGGUAGCUCUCCAUUCUGGAGCACCCUCCCGGACUUUAAUAGCUAUAUCAAUGAAUCUAGCAUCCUUUUCCAAAAUGUUUACCACACAUUCUUCACUCCAGUACAAGGCCAAACCACCACUCAAACCAUCACUAUCCACUCCACAAAAACCCUUAAGGGCCAGCUUGGCUCGGAUCCUCUUCAUGUUCUCCUCCUUUUGCCUGGUUUCACACAGAAAGACAAUCAUGGGGGAAUGCGACUUACACAACGUCGCUAACUCGCGAACUGUCCGGGUGUUCCCCCCUCCCCGGCAGUUCCAACUUAGGCAAUUCAUUGGACCCGGCGGUCCUCCUCCCCGGAGGCCGCCAUCAUAGAAGUGUCCAUAUCAACUUCCUCCCUCUCCUCCACCCCACCAUCACCCUGCUUCCUCCUCUUCACGAUUGGUUUUUUGCCCGGCGUGGUGCUUGGAUCCGAAGAGCUCCCUACACCCGCUAUUUCUCCAUACUUCAGCCUUAAAACCGCGUCAGCCACCUUGCCGGCCAGGUUGGGCACACCCUGGCCACGCACAUUGACCACACCAUCGUCACCAACAAGCCUCUUCCUAGCUGUUCGCUCCUCCGUGUAAGUGCAUCUAGUGCCCCUUAGUGAUUUUGGUGUAUUGAAGACUUAUAGGUUAAGGGACUAAUGCAUUUGUGAGUGUACACAGGUCUAUAAGUCUAUGAGGAGUUUGAUAUUUAUAGAGAAAGUCGACCCCUAAAAAUGAAGUUCUUCAACUGAAGACUUUGAUAUUCUGAAGACUUUCUGAAGACUUUGAAAGUGAAGAAAUUGGUGUGACCUUGAAGACUUGGUAUUCAUUAGUGGAACAUGAAGCGUGAAGACUUUUGUUUUCGUAGUUUCAUUUUCUCUUUCUUGAGUCAUAGGAAACACCGUACUGUUAAAGGGGGUCGAGGAAAUACUAAGGAAAAAUUUCCAUGUGAUGCUCAACUCAAAAUCCUACACCUACCAAUCCCUUCGAGUGAAGCCUUUGGAAAUCUCAUACAGUUCAGUCACUUUCUUCAGUGACAGAGACGAAGUUCUUCUGGUCGCUGAUGAAUUUGUUCUGACUGAGAAGUUAGGAAUUCGCCAGUGCGAAUUACCUACACAAUGAGGAACAUGAUAGCCCUGAGGAAUUUGAGAGUCAAAUUUCCGACCGUUGCUGUGCUGCGCGCUAGCUGUCCCAAAAUAUCUUAUCCACCUAACGGUCAUAUCAUUGAAGGGCAUUUAUGUCUUAUCAUGUCGGGCUGCUCCCUAGGCUAUAAAUAGCCGCCCCCUACAACCACUAGCUGGUUGGCUGCUCCGAGAGAACUUGACACUUGUCAUUUGAGAGCAACCCAUCCUCCGAGGACUUUGAGCGAAAAUCAUCAAGUGAGGAAAAUCCCAAACCCAAACACCUACAAACCCCAAAGUGAUUGAGCAUCACUGAAAAAAUUGAUCCCGCGUGGAUCCGACGCUUGUUACCUUUGAAGACUGUGCUUCUUCCAUACGGUUAGGCGUCAAGGUCUAGAGCAUCCAAGAGGAAUUGUGGAUCGCCGAGUGACCAAGUCUGUGAAGGUUUGGAAGUCGCCUGAAGACUUACCAUGAGUGAUUGGACGGGAUCUGUGUGAUCUUAGUUCAAGGAGAAUACGGUGAGGACUGGGUGUCCUGAGCUGCGCGCUCAGUGACUGGGUGUCCGGGACUGCGUGUCCUCGAGUUUAAAUACUCAGCCGCUCCAACCAGACGUACAACUGAGACAGCAGUUGGAACUGGUCUACCAAAUCAUUGUCUUCACCAACCUAACUGGUUCUAUUUCCUCAACCCUUUGAUUUCCUCAUUACUGUGUUGAGUGUUUGUUCAUAUCUGUGUUUGAAGACUUUGACUGAAGACUUUCUCUAUUUCCUCAGUUCAAUUUCUUCAGUCUGUUUGUCUUCAUCUUGUGUUAUCCUGUGAUUACGCUUUUUGUACUCUGUGCUUGUCUUCAUUUCAUCAUGAUGACCAUGCAUGUAUUCUGUUAUGCUUACUUCUGAGUACUUAUUCCGCUGCUAAUAGUUCUUCGCUAAGGAAUUUCCUCACCGGCAAAUUCCUCAGUGAAGAAUUCAUAAAAAAUCGCCUAUUCACCCCCCUCUAGUCGACAUAACGCACUUUCAAUUGGUAUUAGAGCAAGGUACUCCCUUGUUCUUUGUGAUUUUGGUUUAACCGCCUGGAGUUUUAGUUAUGUCGACCGCAGGUAUGAAGAAAGUGACAUGCCCUAUCUUUGACGGUCGUGACUAUCCCAAGUGGAAGGCCAUGAUGAGGAAGCGCCUCAUGGCAAGGGACAGCGAACUGUGGACCGUCACUGAGAUUGGUCUUACCGAUCUAUGCAAGAUGGCGAAUGCACAUGAUACUCGCAAAUACACUCAACUUGACUGCAUGGCGAAGGAUAUCAUCUGUUCCUGCCUAUCCAGAGAUCAAAUCAGGAACAUUAUGCAUCUUUGCAAUGCAAAGCUUAUCUGGGACCGAAUCUCUGAUGUCUAUGAAGGUCAUCGAACUCGUCAUGAUCCCUGGUUUGAGGACUUCAAGGAAUCUCUCACAACGAUGACUUUCGAGCCAGAAUCAUCAUCGUCUGCAUCAUGUCUCAUGGCAAAGGGUGAUGAGGUAACUGAAUGUUCCUCAUCUGAAUUUAGUGACUGUGAAUCUGAUGAUGAUGAAUCUGAUGAUGAUAUUGAACCUUGCUAUACCAAACUUGUUUGCAUUGCCACCAAACAACAACAUGCCUUGGAAAAGGUUCAAAACAUGCUAGCUAAGAGUGAUGGUAUGUUAUGUGAAGAAAUGGAUCGCACUAAAGCCCUGACUGAAAAUCUUCAGAGAAUUCAGUCUAGGCUUGAUAACCUUCAAAGUCAUCAUAACACUCUCUUAUCUGAUCAUGAGAAACUUUCUUAUGAAUUUCUUCAAAGAAAGCAAGAUCUUGAGAAGCUAAGAGUGAGUUAUGAAGAUCUUCAGAAGGAGCGCGAUUCAUUACUUGCUCAACAAAUCAGCACUUCUCAGGAAGAAUUUGUUCCUCAUGCUUAAAGUGCAUUGAACGUGAAUCUGCUCAUUCUUCACCUGAAUGUUCAAAUGCUUCAACGGUUACAAAUUCUUCACCUGCCUCUGCUACCACUAAUUCCUCAUCUGAGGACAUUGCUAGUAUCACUGACGAUGCAGGGCUGAAGGAAUUGUACACGACAGGCAUGUACAAAAGCCUCAAAGGGCAUCAGAUUCUUUGUGAUGUGCUCAAAAAGCAGAUCCUCAACAGAAACCCUAGGAAAGAGGGUAUUGCCUUUGAGAGGAAACUUAAUGCUGAUGGAACAUAUUGGAAGCCUGAGCAGUACCCCAAAACCUCAUGGGUUGCUGCAAAGGGACCUCCAGUUGAUCCAUCCAUGUUAUCUGGCUUUACAUGUGAAUCUCUUCAUUCUUCUGAUGAGUCAUUUGACUCCAACUAUAAACUGUUCAAAAAUCAGAAUGGUGAAGUAUUUGCUAGAUAUGUUGGGACUAACUGCAGGAACGGUUCCCCUAUGAAGAAAAUCUGGGUUCCCAAGAGUUAUGUUGAAAGUCUUCAGGUGAAUGUCCUCAUGACACCACCUGUGAAGAAUAGGAACCCCAGAACAAACUCUUCAUAUGGACCUAAUUCUUCAUAUGGAUCCAAGUCCUCAUAUGGACCAAAUUCCUCACGUGGAUCAAAAAUUCCUCAACUGGAUCAAAGUCAUCAUAUGAUCAUCAUCGUGCUAACAACUCUGUUUCGCAGGGUAGAGCUAAGGGCUAUGAAUAUGCACAUUAUUCCUCAAAUCAUUAUGUUCAUAAGUCCUCGAAGAAUUUCUCUACUUAUUCAUAUGCUUACCCUAACCCCUCUUAUGUGAAACGAAAUGGGUUGGCUUCUAUGCCACCAUUCUCGUACGGUGCUCACAGAGUGAUGAACUCUUUGCCACCCCUUCAGAUGUGGGUGGUGAAGAAAAAGAACUAAUCUCUUCUGCAGGGUCAGGUCUCCAGACGUGCUUUAACGUCUGAAGAAUUUGCUGGGGAACUGACAAAAUUGUCUGGAAGGACGCAGGCUAACCAUGAUGAAAUGAAUUUUCAUUUCACACGUCCUCCUACUGCUAUAUCUGUUUACCGCUUGAUGAAAUUCAUCUGAUGAACUUAAUAUCAUAUUCUUCACUGAUGAAGCAUAUGAGAUUGUAAGUUACACUAAUUCAUCUGCAGGAUGAUCAACCCAAAACCACUGAAUGGGUCCUCGAUAGUGGAUGUACAAAUCACAUGACUGGUGACAAGAAUCUCUUGAUGGAUGCUCCUUUAUCACCGUCACAUCUGAAGCAUAUCAUCUUUGCUGACAAAGGCAAAAGUCAGGUAUUGGGUCUUGGUAAGGUUGCGAUCUCUAAGGAUAAACACAUGGACAAAGUCAUGCUUGUUGAGUCCUUGGGAUACAACCUCAUGUCAGUCUCAAUGCUUUGUGAUCUUGAUAUGGUUGUUGUCUUUGGCAAGUAUCGCUGUGUUGUGAUUAUGGAAGCUGACAAUUCCAAAGUCUUCGAAGGCUUUAGGAGAGGAGAUUUGUAUAUUGUUGAUUUCUCUACAGGACCACAACCAGCCGUGUGUCUACUUGCAAAAGCUUCAGAAGGCUGGCUAUGGCAUCGACGACUUGGUCACGCAGGCAUGAGGAAUUUGCACACACUUGCGAAGAAAAAGCAUGUCAUUGGCAUUGAGAAUGUCAAAUUCCUCAAGGAUCACUUAUGCGGAGCCUGUGAAGCUGGAAAAAUGACCAAGGCCAAGCAUCCAGCGAAGACUAUCAUGACCACUACUCGUCCAUUCGAAUUGCUUCACAUGGACCUCUUCGGACCUAAUCAUUACUCAGCAGUCACUAAUGUUGCUUCUCUAUAUGGUUUUGUUAUUGUUGAUGAUUACUCUCGAUAUACAUGGGUACACAUUGUUACUUACAAACAUGAAGUGCAGGAAGUCUUCAAACGAUUUUCCUCGAGGGCUUCAACCAACUUUGGUGUGAAGAUCAAGCACAUCAGAAGUGACAAUGGAACUGAGUUCAAGAAUUCUGGUCUUGAUGACUAUUUUGAUGAACUUGGUAUUACUCAUGAAUUAUCUGCUCCUUAUACUCCUCAGCAAAAUGGCGUCGUGGAGCGCAAGAACAGAACUCUUGUUGAAAUGGCUCGCACUAUGCUUGAUGAAUACAAAACGCCUGAACAUUUUUGGAUUGAUGCAAUUGAUACUGCGUGCCACAUCAUCAACAGAGUAUAUCUUCACAAAUUCUUCAAGAAGACGGCCUAUGAACUCCUCACUGACAAGAAACCCAAUGUGAGUUAUUUCAAAGUCUUCGGUGCUAGAUGUUGGAUUAGAGAUCCUCACCACAAUUCUAAAUUUGCACCAAAAGCACAUGAAGGUUUUAUGCUUGGUUACGGAAAGGACUCGCACACCUACAGAGUCUUCAACAUUGUUCUUCACAAGAUUUUUGAAACUGUAGAUGUGCGGUUCGAUGAAACUAAUGGCUCGCAAAGAGAGCACCUACCUUCUGUGUUAGAUGAACAAGCACCUGAGGAUUCUAUCAAGUUCAAGGCAACUGAGGAUGUCAUUCCUACUGAAGAACUUGCUGAAGAAUUCAUUCCAGUACGCGAAGAACGUCGAGUUGUCGCACCUGAAGAUAAUGAUGAAGUCAAUGGUGCUGAGGAAAAUGAUCAAAUACCUCGACGUCAACCAGCUCAUCCUCGCGUUGCAAAAGAAGUACAAGUUGACAAGAUCAUCGAUGACAUUGAAGCGCCAGGUCCUCUCACACGCUCAAAAGCUUCACAUUUAUCUAACUUUUGUGGGCACUAUGCUUUUGUCUCUAUCACAGAGCCCACUAAGGUAGAUGAAGCAUUUUUGGAGCCGGAGUGGAUUCAGGCUAUGCAAGAAGAAUUACAUCAGUUCGAGCUCAACAAUGUCUGGGAACUGGUCAAACGUCCAGAUCCUCACAAGCAUAAUAUCAUUGGCACAAAGUGGAUCUACCGCAACAAGCAAGAUGAAAAUGGCCUUGUGGUAAGGAAUAAGGCACGACUAGUAGCUCAAGGCUACACACAGGUUGAAGGAAUUGAUUUCGAUGAAACUUUUGCACCUGUUGCUAGACUUGAGGCUAUUCGCAUAUUACUUGCUUACGCUAAUCAUCAUGAUAUCAUCUUAUAUCAAAUGGAUGUGAAAAGUGCAUUCCUCAAUGGUAAGCUUGAGGAAGAAGUAUAUGUUGCUCAACCCCCAGGUUUUGAAGAUCCAAAGAAUCCUGACAAAGUCUUCAAACUUAAUAAGGCCCUCUAUGGCCUCAAGCAAGCCCCUCGGGCGUGGUAUGAUACAUUGAAGGAAUUCUUCGUGAAGAAUGGCUUCACACCCGGUUCACUCGACCCUACUCUCUUUACUAAAUCUUAUGAUGGUGAACUGUUUGUGUGCCAAAUAUAUGUUGAUGAUAUUAUCUUUGGCUGUAGUGACCAACGUUAUAGUGGCGAAUUUGCCUAUAUGAUGAGUGAAGAAUAUCAAAUGUCUAUGAUGGGAGAAUUGAAAUUCUUCUUAGGUCUUCAAAUUCGUCAACAGCGCAAUGGCAUAUUCAUAUCUCAGGAGAAAUACCUCAAAGAUAUACUGAGGAAAUUCGGCAUGCAAGAUUGCAAAGGCGUCAAAAUUCCUAUGCCCACAAAAAGCCAUCUAUGCACUGAUGAAAAUGGUAUUGACUUCGAUCACAAGGUAUACCGCUCCAUGAUUGGUUCUUUAUUGUACUUAUGUGCAUCUAGGCCAGAUAUAAUGCUUAGUGUUUGCAUGUGUGCCUGAUUUCAAGCUGCACCGAAGGAAUCACACCAUAAGGCUGUGAAGCAUAUUCUUCGAUAUCUAGCUCACACACCAACACUAGGAUUAUGGUACCCCAAGGGCUCUGUCUUUGAUCUCAUUGGAUAUUCUGACUCUGACUAUGCUGGUGAUCGUGUGGACCGCAAGUGAACCUCUGGUACUUGUCAUUUCCUCGGACGAUCUUUGGUCUGUUGGUCCUCAAAGAAACAGAACUGUGUAUCACUGUCUACUGCGGAAGCUGAAUACAUUGCUGCUGGAUCGUGCUGUGCUCAACUGCUUUGGAUGAAGCAAACGCUCAAGGACUAUGGCGUCAACGUGAAGAAUGUGCCUCUCCUCUGUGACAAUGAGAGUGCCAUCAAGAUUGCUCACAACCCAGUUCAGCACUCGAAGACAAAGCACAUUCAAAUUCGUCAUCAUUUUCUUCGUGAUCAUGUGUUGAAGGGCGACAUCUCUAUCGAGCACGUGAAGACUGAAGAACAGCUAGCUGAUAUCUUCACUAAGCCCUUAGAUGAGAAGAGAUUUAGCAAGUUGCGGUAUGAGCUAAAUAUCCUAGAAUCUUCGAAUGUUCUUUGAAAAGGACACACAUCCUAACACUUAUGCAGAAUUGAUGACUUAGAUGUGCAACACAUGAAGAAACGUUUUUCUUCAAUCAAUGAAGAAUAACACUCUAAGUGUGAAGAAAUUAAUGAAGAAUUUGAUUCUCAGAACCCUACAACAAUUGUACGCGGUGUCUGAAAUCAUCAUUCUUAUACGGUGGGACACGCCACCACAAAAAGUUGAAAAUCUUCAAUUGAGUUUUUCCUCAGUUUUGAAAUUCUUCAGUUUUUCAAAUUCUUCAACUUUGCAAAAUCUUCACUAUUUCCUUCGUUUUUCUUCAUUGGAUAUAUAUAUAUAUGAGUUUAUGUCCUCUACAGCAUUCACUUAUAGCUAUUUCUUCAAGAUGCUUUUUCUGCUAAGUGAAUGUGACCGGACCCUUCCCCUCUAUGCUAUACUCAACCCAAUCUAUUCACAAAUUCUUCAUGUGCGUUCUAUUUGAAACUCGUUCAAAGUCUUCACUGUGUCCUUGGCAGCUGAAGAAAUUGCGAACGAAACUUUAAAACAAAUCUUAUCCAAAUUUUCGGUUUUGCCGCUCAAACUGUUCCGCAUCCCAUGAUGCAUUAUUCUAUUCACCCACGAUCGUACACGAUCUCCACUACACAGUACGUGGGUGACACAUGUCGCGUGAAGGAGAAAGGGCAGGGGCACGUUCGUCCUAAAUCUUCGGACGAACAGUUUUUCACUGUGUCUAUAAAUACCCCUCUCCCCUUCCUCACUUCAUUUACUCCGCUCGACCAUCUCUCUCCCGCUCGAGCUACCCAAACCCUAGCGCCAUCGCUACUCCAUCGUCGCCGGUGAGGAAGAGCUUCGCUGCCUCGACCUCGUCGCCGCCGUACUCACGCCGACCGCGGAAAUCUUCACUCCGCCGCCGCUGUAGUUGUCUUCCUCCGCCGAGUUAGGGAAAGGAAGAUCUAACCUGACGAACGUCCCAUCUGUUCUUCUCAGUUCGUCGUGUUCUUCAUUUUGGGUAAUUAAAAGUUGCUUUUAUUACUCGCUUUGAUUCUCAAGCUUUCCUGAAAAUCUUCAAUGGUGUUUAUUCCUCAAAUCUUCACACAUACGAACACCACACACUUCAUAUGAUCUUGAACUAUUUCUCUAAGCAACCAUUUUCUUCAAGAUUCCCUAAUUGUGUGGAUCUUCGAUCUGUACAACUCUGAAACCUAAGACAAGAAUGCUUAGUGAAAUUCCUCAAGGUUCAUCUGGUCAAAUUCCUCAAAACUUGUUCUUUUCAAAAACCUUCUCAGAACGCAUAUGACCUCUCCAAAUUCCUCGCAUCUGUACUCUGUUCACAGGUACUCAUGUCUGCUGCUGAAUCACUAGGUUCUCAUCAACAUAACUCAUUUGCAGCGUUCCUCGAAGAAAAACUGCAUACUUCUUCAGAGAACUCAAUUGUUCAAAUUCCUCAAUUGAAGAAUAUGGCAGACGGUAAGAAACCGCAGAAAGGAGGAAAGAAACCCGAGGUUAUGACUGCGUUUGAAAUCCCUGAAGAAAUUUAUGAUGACUAUUGCACACCUGAUGAAGCAAAAUAUGGCAAAGAAAACAAAAAUCAGCGCAAGGUGCGCAUCCAGAAGAUUGAACGGAGAUGGGCAAGGGAAUGGAGGGAAUACAGAUAUGUAACUCCAAAGUACAUGAAGAAAUUCGCCCUCAAUCCUCCGUGCCCAAGUGCUCCAUUGGCACCUGGCCAAGUAGCUGAUCCCACAAGCAUCAAACGUGGUGAGGACUUUCCUGAAGAAUGGGCUAAGCGCCAAGCCAAAUUGGCAAGACAAGCCAAGGAGGCAGUGAAGAAAUUCAAUGAGGAGUCUGCCACUGCUACUGCUACUAGGCCUCGGUACAACCGAGGAAAUCCAUGCCAAAGAAGCCUGCUCGUAAGCCAAGUGCUUCACCAUCAGCGCCCUCAUGGCCAAGUUCCUCAGCAGUGCCCUCACGGCAAAUUCCUCACACUGCUCCUGCUCCUCCCAAGUCCUCAGCAGUUCCGACAAAGUCCUCAGCACCUGUGCAUCUGACUACAUGUCAAAGGACUGCUGGUUUCUCGAUUGCCUCUGGUGUCUCAGCAAGUUCCUCAGCUGCACCAAAGUCAUCAUCUGGCCCGACUCUGCUGAAGACCAAAACAACAGCUGGACGAGGUCCUCGGCCAAGUCCAAAGAAGAAACAGGUCGCAUUCCAUGUGCCAUCUGAUGAUGAAGCUUCUGAUGAUGAACUCGCAGAAAUCAUCAGAGGCAGACAGGUGAAGGCCGCUAGAGCCAAAGGCACAUCUGUGCCACUGCUGUUGGAUCCGAGGAAAAUCCUCGAUUAUAUUGAUCUCUGGCACAAGGAUCCAAACACCCCCAUGCCUGUUCUUCAUCUGACCGCUGGUCAAAAUCACAUGCUGACCCAUUUCAUCACUGAAGAGAAAUGGAAGUUUGAAAAGGCAAGAGAGAUCAAGAAAGCUCAAUACAGAAAGGAGAAGUUCCUGAAGAAAAACAUUGUCAAAAUGACACCUGAAGAACUUCUCAAAGUCCAGACUGAAAUUCAAGACCUCAGCAAAAACUUCAAUGCUUAUUAUGCUGAUUGGCAAGGGGCCAAGGUCAGAUUCGUCAACCUGACAAAGAAAUUCACCAAUGUUGCAGCCUCAACGCAACAUGAAAUUCCUCAGGCUGAAGCCUUAGCUCAGCCGACUGAAGAACAUGCCAGCACCGCUGAUGAAGUUCAGGCUGCUGAUGAAAAUGCUAGUUCCAGGGCUGAUGAUCCCAUUCCAGCCGCUGAAGAAAUUGCCAGGGCAUCCACUAGUGGUGCGCCUGAACAAACUGAAGAAGUCAGGGCAACUGCACCAGUUGCGCCUGAAGAAAUUCAACCAGAUUCCUCAGCUCCUCCAGCACCUACACCAACUCCAAUUCUUCCAUGUGCAUUUGAUGUAAAGAAAACAAAGGCUGCAGAGCGAGCUGCAGUGAAGAAAAGGAAGGCAUCAACUGUGUCAAAUUCUUCGGCUGCGAAGAAAAUGAAGCCAAUAACCAGCUCACUUGAAAAUCCAAUUGAUGCUGUUCCAAUUUCCUCCAUGCCGUCAAAGGACCUUGUUCCUUUUGGAGAAGACUAUGAGAUCCCCAUCGGAUCUGAUGAAGAACAUCAUUCUGCUGCUUCGUCAAAGCAGAUUGAUGAAGAAAUUGAAGUGGACGAUAUCCCUUUAACGCCAGUCAUUUCCUCACCUAUGCCUCAGUUCACAGCUGAAGAGGCUGGUGUUGAGGAACUUGAAGAUGAAGAUGUGGAUAUAGGAUGCACCACACCUGUGAUGAAUGAUGACUUUUGGGAAAGUCAGCAUCCCAAUACUCCUCUCUUCACCCGCUACAACAGAUUCCUCAGUCCCCUGCACCAACAGUUCAAUUGGGCUCUGAAGAAACUCAACCCACUCUCUCUGUGCAUGAAGAAAUUCCAGCCACUAGUGCUAAUGAACCUGCUGCUGCUGAUCCUCAGACUGCACCUGUUGAGGAACAAGAAAUUCCUCAGCCUGAAGAACCCGAGCUCGCGAUUCCUGAGGUGGUGAUGCAACUCACUGACACCCCUCUGCUAAAACAAAAGAAUCCAUUCUCAAGCAAACAGAAGUUCAAGGCUGAAGAUUUCUUUGCCGAGCACAUAUUCUUCACUGAUUAUAAUCCAUAUGAUUCUGCUCGCAUAAGGAAGAGGCGUUUCUGGACUGCCAACCAAGCCAAUUUCUAUUCCUCAGUGCUCUUCAACAAAGACAAAGUCUUCGAUCAUGCACAUAUUCCUCAUGUGGACAUGGAGUCUCUGCCCGGCUUUGAGCCAGUCCUCAGUGUUCUUCACGACGCAUGACUUCUGAAUUUCUGCAUUGAUAUCUAUGACUGGAAUGAAGAAUUCAUUCUUCAAUUUUAUGCAACUCUGCACAUCACCGGAGACGCUGAAGAUGUGAACACAUGGGUAUUAGACUGGAUGUCUGAAAAAUACUCACUAUAAGGCACCAGCAACUGAAUUGCUUCGUGCUCUACCACUCAGUCCUCCAGUUGAUGAUGCUCGUUGUAUCUACAAUGAACCAGAACUUUCAAAUCACUAUAUGCAAGUGCUGAUGAAGCCUUUGAAGCCAAGGCAGGCCCCAAGAACCAAAUUCCUCGUCAAGGAAUUAUUGUAUGUGCCUCGGACUGUCUAUCGAAUUCUGACAAAGACAAUGAGUCCUAUAAAAGGCCACGACUCAAAUGAUGAAGAAGUCGUUGGCAUCAUGAAGAAUAUGCUUUUCAACAUCAUUCAUGGCGUUCCCAUAAACUUCCAUGAUUUCUUCAUGAGGACUCUGGCCAAUAUUGCUAUGUCACCAUUCGAGCUGAAGCCCUAUGCUCCUUGGAUAAUGAGAUUCAUCAAGGCAUGAUCUUCACUGAAUUACAAAGCUGACACUCUGAACCACGGUAGCUACUUGCCUCCCAUUGAAGUCCUCAAACGGACAGUUUCAUCAGCUGAUGAUAAAGGCAAUGCCGCUGCUGUGAUCGAUGAAGGCAUUCGUCCAUUGGAUGGUCAAUUUCGCAAGGCUGCAUCUUACUCUACCAAUGACGAUUCUGCCACCCAUGACUCUGCCGCCAAUACCUCAGCCAAGCAAAAUCCUCAAGCCACAGUACCCAGGGUGAUGACUGAUCGUGAGUUACUCCUCAGUCUUCAUCAGAAGGUUGAUCGCAAUCAUAAAUGGGUCAAGCGUCAGUUUGGUUCAAUUCUUCACAACAUGACCUCCACACACAAUGCAGUGAAGAAGAACCACUACUACCUCCAUAAAACCCUCAACUGCACCUGGGUUGUUCUCUCGCAUGUCUACAACGCUGCAGAUCUGAAGAAUAUGGGUCUCAAGGAAGAAUUUGACUGGUCUGCACCUCCACCGAACAAAUUCAAGAAGGUCGAAGUCCCUUCCUUGGUGGCCAGCUCUUAUUCUUCAUCGCGUGACACUGAUGAGUAUGAAGAUUUGGACGACACUACGGCAGGCCCUGCUCCAACAAACAACCCCGACAACGCUGGCGCUCCUCCAUCAACUUGAAAUUCUUCAGGGGCGUUAGUCCUCAGUUUCAAUCCUUUUGGUCAUUUGAUGACAAAGGGGGAGAAAUCUGAGUUAGUCUUCAAGCGGGUCUAUAUUAAGGGCAUAUUUUUUAAGUUAAAACUCUCGCUCUUCUGAAACUUUUAUUUGGAUCGAGUUGUAAUCUUAAACCCGAUGGUGCGCUGAUACUUUUGUUGCAUUAUGCUUUGCAUGCUUAUUCCUCGUUAAUGACAUCGCACGCAUGCUGAAUCACAUCAGGCACCAUAUUUCAUCAUGCAUUUCAAAUUCUUCAUAUUAUAUAUCAAAUGCGUGUAUGAAUUACAAGAUAUAGGGGGAGAUCUCCAUGAUUCAACUCUUCAAAUGUGCAAUGCUUCAAAAGCAAAAUUCCUCACUAUGCACAUCUUCAGGGGGAGUUCUUCCAUAUCUUGUAAUCAAAUUCCUCAAUAUUAGUGUAUACACUUCAUAUAUUUAUCCCCGUUGAAAACUUAACAUAUGUUGUCAUCAAUCACCAAAAAGGGGGAGAUUGUAAGUGCAUCUAGUGCCCCUUAGUGAUUUUGGUGUAUUGAAGACUUAUAGGUUAAGGGACUAAUGCGUUUGUGAGUGUACACAGGUCUAUAAGUCUAUGAGGAGUUUGAUAUUUACAGAGAAAGUCGACCCCUAAAAAUGAAGUUCUUCAACUGAAGACUUUGAUAUUCUGAAGACUUUUGAAGACUUUGAAAGUGAAGAAAUUGGUGUGACCUUGAAGACUUGGUAUUCAUUAGUGGAACAUGAAGCGUGAAGACUUUUGUUUUCGUAGUUUCAUUUUCUCUUUCUUGAGUCAUAGGAAACACCGUACUGUUAAAGGGGGUCGAGGAAAUACUAAGGAAAAAUUUCCAUGUGAUGCUUAACUCAAAAUCCUACACCUACCAAUCCCUUCGAGUGAAGCCUUUGGAAAUCUCAUACAGUUCAGUCACUUUCUUCAGUGACAGAGACGAAGUUCUUCUGGUCGCUGAUGAAUUUGUUCUGACUGAGGAGUUAGGAAUUCGCCAGUGCGAAUUACCUACACAGUGAGGAACAUGAUAGCCCUGAGGAAUUUGAGAGUCAAAUUUCCGACCGUUGCUGUGCUGCGCGCCAGCUGUCCCAAAAUAUCUUAUCCACCUAACGGUCAUAUCAUUGAAGGGCAUUUAUGUCUUAUCAUGUCAGGCUGCUCCCAGGCUAUAAAUAGCCGCCCCCUACAACCACUAGCUGGUUGGCUGCUCCGAGAGAACUUGACACUUGUCAUUUGAGAGCAACCCAUCCUCCGAGGACUUUGAGCGAAAAUCAUCAAGUGAGGAAAAUCCCAAACCCAAACACCUACAAACCCCAAAGUGAUUGAGCAUCACUGAAGAAAUUGAUCCCGCGUGGAUCCGACGCUUGUUACCUUUGAAGACUGUGCUUCUUCCAGACGGUUAGGCGUCAAGGUCUAGAGCAUCCAAGAGGAAUUGUGGAUCGCCGAGUAACCAAGUCUGUGAAGGUUUGGAAGUCGCCUGAAGACUUACCACGAGUGAUUGGACGGGAUCUGUGUGAUCUUAGUUCAAGGAGAAUACGGUGAGGACUGGGUGUCUUGAGCUGCGUGCUCAGUGACUGGGUGUCCGGGACUGCGUGUCCUCGAGUUUAAAUACUCAGCCGCUCCAACCAGACGUACAACUGAGACAGCAGUUGCAACUGGUCUACCAAAUCAUUGUCUUCACCAACCUAACUGGUUCUAUUUCCUCAACUCUUUCAUUUCCUCAUUACUGUGUUGAGUGUUUGUUCAUAUCUGUGUUUGAAGACUUUGACUAAAGACUUUCUCUAUUUCCUCAGUUCAAUUUCUUCAGUCUGUUUGUCUUCAUCUUGUGUUAUCCUGUGAUUACGCUUUCUGUACUCUGUGCUUGUCUUCAUUUCAUCAUGAUGACCAUGCGUGUAUUCUGUUAUGCUUACUUCUGAGUACUUAUUCCGCUGCUAAUAGUUCUUCACUAAGGAAUUUCCUCACCAGCAAAUUUCUCAGUGAAGAAUUCAUAAAAAUCGCCUAUUCACCCCCCUCUAGUCGACAUAACGCACUUUCACUCCGCACUCCUCAUCAUCUUAUACUGCAUGAUAUCCAUCCCCACCGUCAGCUUCACCCCACCCUCUCUUUGAAGAUCCACAUCAGCCCUUUCCUCCAUCGUAAACACUCUACCACCUCUGGAACCACCCCCUCGACCUCCUCUCCUCCCUCCUCGGCCCCCUCCAGCAGGCCCAGCUCCCCCUCUACCACCAUCGCUCCCUCCUCCUCUCCCUCCUCUAGGACCUGAGCCCAUCGGCUCACUGACCCAAUGUAGCCAGUCCCUCCAUUCACACACCGCAAUAUCAUGAACUCCAUCACCACACUCCUCCACCACAUGUCCCAUACGACCACAAAAGUAGCAGAAAUCUGGGAGCUUUUCAUAGUAUACUGAAUAUCUCUUCCUCUCCUUCAAAGUGAUAAGCACGAACCUUACUAAUGGCCGAUUAACAUUAACAAACACCCGCACUCUCAAAAAGUUUGAUGGGUUGAUUCUCCCUUCAUUCACUGUAACUGUAAACGGAGGCUCUCCUACCUUCUUUGCAACCUUCUCUGCUAGCUCCUUCUUCCUCGUCAAUCCAUCCGGCAAACCUUUAAUCCGCGCCCACAAAGGAUACAUGUUCAGAUCAUAUUCUUCCAUGUCGGAAAAGCCAUCAUACUCUACCAAUACCACCGGGUCUCUACUGAACUGCCAAGGACCCCCUUCCAUCACGCGCUUCCAAUCUCCCAAACAAUGGCAUUGAGCCAAGAACAAGUUGGGGCCCUUGAUGUUGAAAGUUAUCCCUUGCGCACAAGCCCACGCGUUCCUCAUUGAAUUCAGCAGGGAAGCAUGGCUGAACGGCCGUAGGGUGUGAACCCUAAAAAGCGCCAUCCAGCGUACAUCCUUAAUCAGCUCUUCAAACUCACCGAACAGAUCUAGGUCUUCCUCCUCCUCGCCUUGCAGCUUGAGGUUUGCAAACACAUCCUCUAGAUCAUUGUCCGGGCCAUACUGAUCCCAAUCUACUUCAUCCUCUUCCUUCUGAUCUUCCACACCCCCCUCCCUGAUCUUACUUCCUUCCUCGUCUCCACCCUUCGCCGUCGCGUUACCCGAGUCAAGCCCGGCUCCCGCAGAUGUUGCCUCAGCCCUAGACUCCAUUACUUCCCUGUCCUCCUCCCCGCCUCGCACCCCCAGACUGCUCGUAUCGUCCAUGCAACCGACAGAGAACGCUCCUGCCAGCCCCCGCUCCGAUCUCCACACAAGAGUCCGAUCUCGAUCGAUGAAUUUCACGGCGGAUUUGGUGUACUUCGGUGGUGCCGCCGAAGGAGAGGUUGGACCCUAGGAAACCCUAGGGGAAAAAAACUCUUUUUUGGUUAUUGAUAGAGAGAGAUCUCAGCGACUCUUACUUGGUUGAUGUCGAAAGAAAGAAGAAUCUUACUUGGUUUACCUAAUAAAAAGGGAAAAUUUUGUUUUUGCCACUCUAUAUUUUGCCAAUUGUUCUUAUGCCACUCUAGAUUUUCACAUUUUACUUUUGCCAUUCUUAGUUUUUCAUAAUUUUCAUAAUUCCCAUUUUUGUGGCAAAAGCAAAAUUUUCAGAGUGUCAAUUGUGAUACAUUUCUAAAGCUAAUAGAGGCAAAAAUGUAAUAAAACCAUUUUACUUUUGCCACGGAAUGGCAAUUGUGAUAAUUAUCAAAAGCUAAUGGUGGUAAACAUGAAAUGUCGAAAUCCAGAAUGGCAUAAGGAGAAUUGGCAAAAAAUAGAGUGGCAAAAACCAAAUUUUCCCAAUAAAAAAAGCAACAAUUAAGGCUUUUUCGACUGGUUUGGCUAGCCCCGCAUCUCCACCGGUUAACCGUUACAAUCUGCAGCUUUGUUGCCCGUUCUCACCGUGCUCGUAGCAAAAUGGCAUGUCUUCUUCAAGCUCGGAUUUGGCCGAGCCCAGCCUGGCAUUGCUUGAAGCUCAAAUGUCGGUCUCGGCAAACUAUCAACUCCAAUUACCAUGUUAUGGCCUGACCUCACCAAUUUGUCUUUAUUGUUUCAUUUGGAAGUGGUAAUUUUCUAUUCAUAUGUAAUGGACAUUGUUUGGAUACAAGUAUUGUUGAAUUCAUUGGGAAAACACCAUUUUGUAUAGUUCACUCUUGCUUUCCGUUUUAAAUUGGCGCGGAGUUUUUAUUUCUUGGGGGAUCGGUGACGAGGGAGUGAAUUCGAGUGGGUUCGUGUGUGUNNNNNNNNNNNNNNNNNNNNNNNNNNNNNNNNNNNNNNNNNNNNNNNNNNNNNNNNNNNNNNNNNNNNNNNNNNNNNNNNNNNNNNNNNNNNNNNNNNNNNNNNNNNNNNNNNNNNNNNNNNNNNNNNNNNNNNNNNNNNNNNNNNNNNNNNNNNNNNNNNNNNNNNNNNNNNNNNNNNNNNNNNNNNNNNNNNNNNNNNNNNNNNNNNNNNNNNNNNNNNNNNNNNNNNNNNNNNNNNNNNNNNNNNNNNNNNNNNNNNNNNNNNNNNNNNNNNNNNNNNNNNNNNNNNNNNNNNNNNNNNNNNNNNNNNNNNNNNNNNNNNNNNNNNNACGACACAUGGGUUGUGGGAGAUUUCUAUGUUUAGGCUACUAUUUUAAGGCACAUCUAUGUCUCGCUUUCAGCGAGUUACUUGUAGCGGCCGCCUUUCCUUCCCAAGUGGGCCAUCCCACCAAGUCGAUAUUUCCUCUCUUUUUUUCUUUUCUGACAAUUGUUCACUCCCUGGUGAGCAGAGCGAUGUGCAAGUUUUUUAAUCCUUUGAAUAAAAUAUUUGUGUUUUUAUUUCUUGAAAUAUUCACAGAUAUAAAAAUGGUCAUGUGUAUUUAGAAAAAUAUUGUCAUGUCUUAUAAAAAUGUUCAAUAGUUUAAGGAAAAAAUCAUGACAUAUAUAAAAGGUCAUGCCAUUAAAAAAUGUUCACACGGUUUCAAUUAAAGUGGUCAUAGUUAUUAAUGAAAUUUUUAAAAGGUUUCAUGCAUUUAGAAAUUUUAAAAAUUGUGGUGCAUUUUCAAUACAUGUUCAUAGCAAUAAAAAAUGUCCUUACAUUUAAAAAAUUGUCCAUGUCAUUUUUCAAAAUGUUCAUGACAUUAAAAACACUUCAUACACUUUUAGAGAAAAUAACAUACUUUUAUAUAAAAAAUGUUAGUACAUUCAAAAAAUGCUCAUUACAUUUUAAAUGCUCGUGAAAUCUAAAAAUUGUUUGUGCACUUUAAAAAAAUGUUCAUGGCAUAUAAAGAAUGCUCACCCAUUGCUUACAAAAUAUCGUGAACUUUUAAAAAAGGAGAAAAUAAACACAAACUCAAAAAUGGAAAUGUAAGAAAACAGUAACAAAUACACUAAAACGAGCAGAAAAGAAAAGGAAAUGACAAGAACACCAAAAAGAAAGGACAAGGCCUUAUUUCACGUGUUUUAUUUAACAUGGUACAAUUGCAGUGCCCACAUAUACGAACACAUACUCAUCCCUAUGAACGUAUCUAUGCACACCCUAUCCCUAUGAUUACCUCCGAGAUACUGAGUCAACGCAACAUCUUGAGAUUGAUAAAAUCACCAGGAGUUUUUCGUAAUCAACGAUACGAGCACCAGUGUCAACUAUAGAACCCUAAUUGACUGGUUUCACCACAAGGAAUCUAACCAUAUGAGCUACUCUUACGGCGGAACAGAAACACAAGCCUGGUAGUAGAAAAGAAAAAGGAAUCGAAUUGCUACCUGUCCACAACGCCUAUGUGACGCUCCGCAAAUGAUAUGUAUCGCUAUCUGCGAGCGUUAACAAGUUUUAUUGUAGGGAACCGUCUCAUCGUAGCAAACUGGACACCGUGAAACCCUGUUUUCCUACAGUAUUUUCUUAUUUUGAACAAGCGGGUCUACUGAUUGCCAAUUUUCCUACUCCAUCUGAUUCAAAAAGAAAAAAUGUUAUGGCUUUAGUUCACAUUUAAACCAGAACUUAACUAGAGCCACGACACUUUUUUUUAAUCGUAGGAAGUGGUAUUUUUCUAAUUUCUAGCUGCACGUGUGAUUGAGCCACUUGCAUGGCACCCUUUAUAUACAAGCAUGUUUUAGUUUGACACCUAUACUAAAUUAACAAGAGAUGACUUUCCCUAAAAAAACAAGAGAUGGCUGGAAAUACCUAUUGGUCAAACCUCAUUCACUACCGUGAUAAAUUUGUUCUAAAACCGCCAUAUUUUUAGAGAAAUGAAUGAAGGCACGUAAACAUUUAGACGUGAGAACACGGUGCAAUGUAUGCCCUCGCCCUCUCAUUUACACAUGUAUGGCACCACGUUUAUUUCCACAAAAAUACAACACUACUAAACGGCAUAGUAUAACCAAAUAAGAACAAUUUACAUCUAUAUAUAGCCACCAACUCCAUUGUGAAGUACUCCUUCCAAGAAGAACAAACAUUUAGAGGUGAGAACAGGGUGCGAUGUGCGUGCUCUCAUGCUCAAUAACAGUUGUAUGUCAUCGGGUUUAUUUCCACAAAAAUACAACACUGCUAAACUGCAUGGUGAAACCAAACAAGUACAAUUUACAUCUAUAUAUAGAUAGCAACUCCAUUGUGAAGUACUCCUUACAAGCAGAAGUAGAAGCAUGAGCCCAGAGCAUAGCUACUAGCCAGAGAAGCAACCACCAUGACUUGCACGCAGCACACCCAAAAAAGAGGGCGCCUGACUCAUGCGGCGGCGGAGGCUACGAUGCCUGACUGGACGUCACUUCCAUAUGACAACGUCUGCAACAUCGGCGACUGCCUGUUGUCCAACAACGACAUUGACGACUACAUGGCCUUACGCGCUGUCUGCCAUGGCUGGCGCUCCGCGACAAAGGACUACCCCGAGAAGUGGGACUACGCCGAUCCUCACUACUUCAAGCCUAGUAAAUGGGCAUUGCUCGAUCUCUGCGAUGACCUUAUCACACUAGUGAACAUCGACACCGGUCGAUUCCUCCGUAAGAGCAUCCCGCUACUCCGCGGGUUUUUCUUCGUCGGCGCCACAUGCGGCGGCCUCAUCCUACUUGGGGAAUCAACGAAGCCCCACCAGGCUUGUGUUCUCAACCCGUUCACGGGCUCAAUCGCGCAUCUCAAGGCGAGCAUCCCUGAUGUAGGGGUAAGGGCAGUUGCCAUGACAACGAAACCAUUGAUGGUCUUCGUCUCCACCAAGAAUUGCGACAUCUUGUGGGCGGAUCAAAACAACAAGUACUUCGAGCAAUUUUGGACCAAUUACCCUUACAAACCUACAUGCAUGGUGUCCUUGGCAGAAAAUGUGUAUGUCACUGGUCUGUGCGGAUCAAUCCACUCGCUCACAGUUGUUGAUGACGUUGUUGGGGAACAAAGGCACAAGUGCUCUUCGCUGACAAUCUCGAUGGAAACCAUCGUCCCCAGUAUUGGCGACACAAGCCACCAAAGACUAAUAGAGGAUGGUAGAUAUUAUCUUGUGGAGUCUGGGGGAGAUCUACUGCUUGUGGCCAAACCAUUGUACUUUACUCUCGAUCAACCAGUUGUUCGUAGAGUGGAUAUCAAGAAGAAGGUGCUUGAGCCAGUCAGUAGCAUCGGCAAGCAUGCUAUAUUCGUCAGCCAUGCCAAGUGCCUCUUCGUCAACGCUGACAAGUUUCAGGGCAUCCUUGGUGGAUGCAUCUACUUUAUAGAGCCAAUGGUAACUCGAGGGAACUUUGAGCCUUCAAAAGUGACAAUUUUUAAUGUUGCUGAUAGGCGCAUCAUGGUUGAAUGGGAUACCCUAGAAGGCUGCUUCCGUCCAUUCACCCCCGCCCAAGUCUUCACAGAUUACUGCAGGUCCAUUCAUUAUUCUGAACUAUACCAUAUGAUGGCCAGCGAGUGGGGUUACUCAGAUGAUGUAUUUGAAUCCGACGAAGACUCGUCUUCUGAACUUGAUGAUGAAUCCUCCUCCUCUGAACUUGGUGAUGAAUCCUCCGAUGACGAACCUGGCGACUAAAAAUGGUUGUAUGUUUGAAACCUGGAUAGUUUGUAGUGGGUAAAACAAAAAAGAGAAUUCCGAAAAACGGGGAAUCAUUUUGGGGCAACUUAUUUCGAGUGGAAACAAAAAGUGGUAAGAUUGUCCAAAAGAACACCAUGGUGUUUUGGUAUUUAACGGUUUUAGGAAAUGCUCUGUGCAAUUCAUGCUUAUUGCCAAUGUUGUUGCUAUCAUGAACUAUAAAUGUUUUAUGAGGUACCCAAACAAGUGCUCCUACAAGCAAUAAUCAUCACACGGAAUCACCACGACAUGUGAGUGUAUAAAUGUUUUAGAUAGUUGCAGUGAGAGACAACGAAAGGUUUAGAAGAUAAAUCUCUUGCUGUAAAAAAUCCAAAGAGACCUAUUUAUUUGUUUAUCAUCAUUUUUUACGAGGAGGGGCUAUUGGUCCGCCCUUGUUAGCAUGUACAACCCCAGGAGGCAGACGGCCGCAUCGAGGAGCAUGGACACCUUCAGAUUCGCCCCGCGAACUUGUCCUCGACAUGCGUGCUUUGGCAAAGGUGAAGCUCCGGCUGCUACCAUUUUGAGAAAGGAAGGCGGCCGCUCCUCCGCUGGCCCCAUUGGAAUCUGUGCAGCCUGGCUUCCACAGGCGAGAUCCGACAAGAGGUGGACCACCUCAUGCUUAGCAUCGGCCAGAUCCAUGGGGAGGCUGGCCAACACCGCUUGUCACGAGGAGGAAUUGCAACCACACACAAACUCCAUAAUAGGUGAUGCCUCUACAUGGAAAACGCGGGAAAGUUGUGACUAAGCUCCCAUGUAGGUACACACGUUAACCACACCGUCCAACUGCAUCGUGAUGAGACUACUAUGAGCACCACACCGUCCAACUAUUGGGACGGUUAACCGGAUAGUAGGAAAGAAGCGACCAAGCAACGGUGACUUUCAUCUUACACACGCCGCCAAGAUUGAAGGUACCAUGAUUCCUACCGCUUUCUUAGCCUUGAAAACUGUCCAAGCUUUCUUGCGCUUCGUCUCGCCUUGUCGCCAUGCAUCCACACAAACCUUCAGCUCUCCAGUGAAUUCAACUGAAGCGACGCACCUCGAUAGCUGGACCACGCCAUCCUCAUCAACCGGCACUUCCAUCUCGCUUUCAGAAUCGAGUAAAAUUACUUUCCUGUCAGUCCAUGGUGGUGCACGCGGAAAAUUCACUGCGAACGCCGUCUGUCCAUGAUGACCCAUCAACCACUUGCAUGCUGAUUGUCGUCGCCACGGAGCGAGCAAUUUGACUCAUUGUAAACUCCAGCGUGCUAAGCUCGCUGAUGCAGUUCCUAUCUGUCGGGCACGAAGCCUCCAAAUAGUUGAAAUUGUCACGAGGAACAGCCAAGAAGCUUAAAACAUUGUCCCUAGGCUCCGUGCUGCCCUCCUUCACUUUUAGCGCAAUCUCAAGGGUCGCGGCACCCAACAUAAUGAAUUAAUGAUAGGACGUGUAGGACCAGUCAGUACCAAGCAUGAAUCUUGCAUCCAAUACCAUUAAGUAAGCAAAUAGAUAGUGGUUCCUUCAGCCCUAAUAAGAUUGGAAUAGAACAUAUUAUAUCUCUGGCCUAGAAAGCGAGAUAAAUUGCACGGUUUUUAGCAGAAAACAAAAGAUAUACUAUAUGAUUAAGUAAUCAAGUGGAACUUUAUCGUAAAUAAACUGAACUGGAAGUCUCUGAGGUGGCAAACGCAGAACUAAGUUACACACAAAUUAUCAAGUGUAAAUAAGUUGAACUGGAAGAAUUUUAAGGGGAAUAUGAAGAACACACACACACACACACACACACACACACACACACACACACACACACACACACACACACACAUGUGAAAGAUGCUCCUGUGCGUGAACUCCAUGCAAAAUUUUGUAAAAUUUAGACGUUUGAGGAGCUCACGGCAAAAAAGACAAAAUCAGGCGUGAACGGUGUGAUUUUCGUAAGUUUCUCAUACAUCCAAAAUUUGUCUUUUUUACCACGAGCUCCUCGAAUGUCCAAACUUCACAAAAUUUUGCACGGAGUACACGCACAGGAGCAUCUUGCACCAUAAAAAAUUGAAAUGUUUUGAGCUUUUUUCCUAUUUGAAGGAGGAUCGGAUGAGAAUUCUCAAGUUUGGCAUGAGUAGAGUUACUGGAACAAAUUUUGUGUUACAGUUUGAUGAAUGGAAAAAGAAGGAGCCUCAGGGUACGCCGCUGACUCAGAUUUGGGUUCAUUUUUCAGGGGCACCUUCUGAACCCCUGGAUAACUUCCUAGUUACUUGCAGCCUGGGAUCCCUGCUCGGUGUUUUGAUGAGUGGAAAAAGAAGGAGCCUCAGGGUAUGCCGCUGACUCAGAUUUGGGUUCGUUUUUCAGGGGCACCUUCUGAACCCCUGGAUAACUUCCUGGUUACUUGGAGCCUGGGAUCCCUGCUCGGCAAGACGGAGCAGGUGGAUAUGCCCGUCACGUGUGCUCAUGGUGUGGCACGUUUGCUGGUUAGUGUGGCUAACAUUGAGUUCUUGCCGGAUGUGGUAAGAUGGACUCACGAGGGCAUUGCUUAUAUGUUGGAUGUCGAGUAUGAGGCCCCUGAUCUGUUUCAGGAAUUUGAGGAGAUACAUCAUAUGGACACUUCUGAGGGGGGAGGUGCUCCUGGGAACCAGGAUGGUAGUGCUCAAAAUGAUGGCGACAAGGCUUCAGGGCCUGCGGAUUCCUCUAAGGCAGGAGAGUCUGCUCAGGGGAAAUCGCCGAGUUGUGCUCCGUCUAACAUGCUGCAGCUUGGAUCCUUAGGAGCUUUCUCAGCACCUCCUCGUCUUUGGAGUGAUCGUGUGGAUUUGGAUGAUCCGUCGGAACAUUUGCCGCCGGCGUUUGCGGGGUCUGACUCUUUGUUGGUCUUGGACGGACUGGGAGGAACCAGUGGGCAGGAGGUUCACGUUACUCCCCCUUCAUCUCUGUUGCCUAGGCUGGUGGUGACGGCCGCUCUGGAUAGUUCGGCGGAAGUGGGCGGGCGGGAGGUCCGGCCCUCAUCUGCUGCUUCUUCACCUGCCUCGGGGNNNNNNNNNNNNNNNNNNNNNNNNNNNNNNNNNNNNNNNNNNNNNNNNNNNNNNNNNNNNNNNNNNNNNNNNNNNNNNNNNNNNNNNNNNNNNNNNNNNNNNNNNNNNNNNNNNNNNNNNNNNNNNNNNNNNNNNNNNNNNNNNNNNNNNNNNNNNNNNNNNNNNNNNNNNNNNNNNNNNNNNNNNNNNNNNNNNNNNNNNNNNNNNNNNNNNNNNNNNNNNNNNNNNNNNNNNNNNNNNNNNNNNNNNNNNNNNNNNNNNNNNNNNNNNNNNCCUUUGGUGGCCCACAAGUGUAGGGGAUCUAUCGUAGUCCUUUCGAUAAGUAAGAGUGUCGAACCCAACGAGGAGCAGAAGGAAAUGGUAAGCGGUUUUCCGUAAGGUUUUUUGCAAGCACUGAAAUUGUAGGUGAUAAAUAGUUUUGUGAUAAGAUAAAUAGUAACGAGUAACAAGUAAACAAAGUAAAUAAAGUGCAGCAAGGUGGCCCAAUCCUUUAUGUAGCAAAGGAUAAGCCUGGACAAUUUCUAAAAAUCAUAAAGGAGCUCCCGAGGACACAUGGGAAUUAUCGUCAAGCUAGUUUUCAUCACGCUCAUAUGAUCCGCGUUCGGUACUUUGAUAAUUUGAUAUGUGGGUGGACCGGUGCUUGGGUACUGCCCUUACUUGGACAAGCAUCCCAUUUAUGAUUAACCCCUAUUGCAAGCAUCCGCAACUACAACAAAAGUAUUAAGGUAAGCCUAACCAUAGCAUGAAACAUGUGGAUCCAAAUCAGCCCCUAACGAAGCAACGCAUAAACUAGGGUUUAACCUUCUGUCACUCUAGCAACCCAUCAUCUACUUAUUACUUUCCUAUGCCCUCCUCUAGGCCCAAUAAUGGUGAAGUGCCAUGUAGUCGACAUUCACAUGAUACCACUAGAGGAGAAGACAACAUACAUCUCAUCAAAAUAUCGAACGGAUACCAAAUUCACAUGACUACUAAUAGCAAGACUUCACCCAUGUCCUCAGGAACAAACGUAACUACUCACAAAGCAUAUUCAUGUUCAUAAUCAGAGGUGUAAUAAUAUGCAUUAAGGAUCUGAAUAUAUGAUCUUCCACCAAGUAAAGCAAUAAGUAUCAACUACAAGGAGUAAUCAACACUACUAGCAACCCGCAGGUACCAAUUUGUGGUUUUGGAUACAAGAUUGGAUACAAGAGAUGAACUAGAGUUUGAGAGGAGAUGGUGCUGGUGAAGAUGUUGAUGGAGAUCGACCCCCUCCCGAUGAGAGGAUCCUUGGUGAUGACUGCUACGUCUUGAGCAAGCGUUGGUUUUCCCCAAAGAGGAGAGGGUGAUGCAGCAAGUGUAGCGUAAGUAUUUCCCUCAGUUUUGAGAACCAAGGUAUCAAUCCAAUAGGAGGCUCCUCAAAAGUCCCACGCACCUACACAAACAAACUGAGAACUCGCAACCAACGCAAUAAAGGGGUUGUCAAUCCCUUCACGGCCACUUGCGAAAGUGAGAUCUGAUAGAGAUAGUAUGAUAAGAUAAAUAUAUUUUUGGUAUUUUAUAAUAUAGAUGCAAAAAGUAAAGAUGCAAAUAAAAGUAGAUUGAAAGCAAAUAUGAUAAGAGAUAGACCCGGGGGCCAUAGGUUUCACUAGAGGCUUCUCUCAAGAUAGCAUAAGUAUUAGGGUGGGUGAACAAAUUACUGUCGAGCAAUUGAUAGAAAAGCGCAUAGUUAUGAGAUUAUCUAGGCAUGAUCAUGUAUAUAGGCAUCACGUCCAUAACAAGUAGACCGACUCCUGCUUGCAUCUACUACUAUUACUCCACACAUCGACCGACUCUUGCCUGCAUCUAGAGUAUUAAGUUCAUAAGAACAGAGCAACGCAUUAAGCAAGAUGACAUGAUGUAGAGGGAUAAACUCAUGCAAUAUGAUAUAAACCCCAUCUUAUUAUCCUCGAUGGCAACAAUACAAUACGUAUCUUGCAACCCUUUCUGUCACUGGGUAAGAACACCGCAAGAUUGAACCCAAAGCUAAGCACUUCUCCCAUGGCAAGAAAGAUCAAUCUAGUAGGCCAAACCAAACUGAUAAUUCGAAGAGGCUUGCAAAGAUAACUCAAUCAUACAUAAAAGAAUUCAGAGAAGAUUCAAUUAUUAUCCAUAGAUAAAUCUGAUCAUAAACCCACAAUUCAUCAGAUCUCGACAAACACACCGCAGAAAGAGAUUACAUCGAAUAGAUCUCCACAAGAGAGGGGGAGAACAUUGUAUUGAGAUCCAAAAAGAGAGAAGAAGCCAUCUAGCUAAUAACUAUGGACCCGUAGGUCUGUGGUAAACUAGUCACAACUCAUCGGAGGGGCAAUGAUGUUGAUGUAGAAGCCCUCCGUGGUCGAUUCCCCCUCCGACAGAGUGCCGGCGAAGGCUCCAAGAUGAGAUCUCGCGGAUACAGAAGGUUACGGCGGUGGAAAUUGUGUUUCGAGGUGCUCCUGGAUGUUUUCGGGGUACGUAGGUAUAUAUAGGAGGAAGAAGUACGUCGGUGGCCGCCCGAGGGGCCCACGAGACAGGGGGGUGCGCCCUACGGGGGGGCGCGACCUCCUAUCUUGUGCCUUCCUCGGCAGCUUCUUGGCUUGCACUCCAAGCUCUCCGGAUCACGUUCGUUCCAAAAAUCAUGCUCCCGAAGGUUUCAUUCCGUUUGGACUCCGUUUGAUAUUCCUUUUCUUUGAAAUACUGAAAUAGGCAAAAAAAAAACAGCAAUAUGGGCUGGGCCUCCGGUUAGUAGGUUAGUCCCAAAAAUGAUAUAGAUGUGUAAAAUAAAGCCUAUAAACAUCCAAAAGGGGUAAUAUAAUAGCAUGGAACAAUAAAAAAUUAUAGAUACGUUGGAGACAUAUCAAGCAUCCCCAAGCUUAAUUCCUGCUCGUCCUCGAGUAGGUAAAUGAUAAAAAGAGAAUUUUUGAUGUGGAAUGCUACCUAGCAUAAUUCAUAAUGUAAUUUUCUUUAUUGUGGCAUAAAUGUUUAGAUCCAAAUGAAUACAAAAUAAAAGUUCAUAUUGAUAAAAGAAAUAGUAACACUUCAAGCAUACUAAUCAAAGUAAUCACGUCUUCUCAAAAUAACAUGGCAAAAGAAAGUUCAUCCCUACAAAAUCAUAUAGUUAGGCUAUGCUUCAUUUUUGUCACACAAAGAUGUUCCCAACUUCUAUACCCCCGAUGACAAGCCAAGCAAUUGUUUCAUACUUAAAUAAUCUCAAACUUUUCAACCUUCACGCAAUACAUGAGCGUGAGCCAUGGAUAUAGCACUAUGAGUGGAAUAGAAUAUGAAGAUGGGGAUUGUGUGGAGAAGACAAAAAAAGAGAAAGUCUCACAUUGACGAGGAUAAUCAACGGGCUAUGGAGAUGCCCAUCAAUUGAUGUCAAUAUGAGGAGUAGGGAUUGCCAUGCAACGGAUGCACUAGAGCUAUAAAUAAAUGCUCAACAAAAGAAAACUAGUGGGUGUGCAUCCAACUUGCUUGCUCACGAAGACCUAGGACAUUUGAGGAAGCCCAUCGUAGGAAUAUACAAGCCAAUUUCUAUAAUGAAAAAUUCCCACUAGUAUGAAAAAGACAACUUAUGAGACUCACUAUACGAAAAACAUGGUGCUACUUUGAAGCACAAUAUAUGAGACUCACUACAUGAAGAACAAGGUGCUAUUUUGAAGCACAAGUGUGGAAAAAGAGAUAGUAGCAUUGCCCUUUUUAUUUAUUUCUUUAUUUAUUUUUUCUUUUUCUUUUUUCUUUUUAUUUUUUUCUUGGGCCUUUUUAGGCCUUUCUUCUUUUUUUUUCUUUGGGAAAUGCUCUAAAAAUGAUGAUCAUCACACUUCUAUUGAUUACAACAUAUGAAUUACAACUCGAAACUAGAACAAGAUAUGACUCUAUAUGAAUGCCUCCGGCGGUGUACCGGGAUGGUGCAAUGAAUCAAGAGUGACAUGUAUGAAAAAUAAUGCAUGGUGGCUUUGCCACAAAUACGAUGUCAACUACAUGAUCAUGCAAUGGCAAUAUGACAAAAGUAAUGUAUGUCAUGAUGAUGAACGGAACGGUGGAAAGUUGCAUGGCAAUAUAUCUCGGAAUGACUAUGGAAAUGCCAUAAUAGGUAGGUAUGAUGGCUGUUUUGAGAAAGAUAUAAGGAGGUUUAUGUGUGAUAGAGCGUAUCAUAUCACGGGGUUUGGAUGCACCGACGAAGUUUGCACCAACUCUCAAGGUGAGAAAGGCAAUGCACGGUACCGAAGAGGCUAGCAAUGGUGGAAAGGUAAAAGUGCGUAUAAUCCAUGGACUCAACAUUAGUCAAAAGAACUCAUAUACUUAUUGCAAAAAAAUUAGAAGUCAUCAAAAAUCAAGUACUACACGCAUGCUCCUAGGGGGAUAGAUUGGUAGGAAAAGACUAUCGCUCGUCCCCGACCGCCACUCAUAAGGAUGCACAAGCCAGGUACACUUCAUGUUUCAAAUUUGUUACAUAACUUUAACCAUACGUGCAUGCUACGGGACUUGCUAACUUCAACACAAGCAUUCUUUAAAUUCAUAAUCACCCAACUAGCAUGACUUUAAUAUCACUACCUCCAUAUCUCAAAACAAUUAUCAAGCAUUAAGUUGAUCAUAGCAUCCAAUUCACUUUUUAUGAUAGUUUUUAUUAUACCCAACUUGGAUGCUCAUCAUUCUAGGACCAACUUUAUGAUAAUAGCAAAAACCAUGCUGUUCUAAAAGACUCUCAAAAUGAUAUAAGUGAAGCAUGAGAGACUAGCAAUUUCAUCAAAAUUAAGAUACCACCGUGCUCUAAAAGAUAUAAAUGAAGCACUAGAGCAAAAACUAUCAAGCUCAAAAGAUAUAAGUGAAGCACAUAGAGUAUUCUAGCAAAUUCUAAGCAAAUAGGCUUCUCCCAAAAUGUGUGUACAGCAAGGAUGAUUGUGGAAAACUAAAAAGCAAAGACUAAUAUAAUACACGACGCUCCAAGCAAAACACAUAUCAUGUGGCGAAUAAAAAUAUAGCUCCAAGUAAAGUUACCAAUGAACGAAGACAAAAGAGGGGAUGCCUUCCCGGGGCAUCCCCAAGCUUAGGCUUUUGGCUAUUCUUGAAUAUCUUGGGGUGCCUUGGGCAUCCCCAAGCUUAGGCUCUUGCCACCCUUUAUUCCAUAGUCCAUAAAAGCUUUACCCAAAGCUUUAAAACUUCACAACACAAAACUCAACAGGAAAUCUUAUAAGCUCCGUUAGUGAAAGAAAACAAAAUCACCACAUAAGGUACUGAAAUGAACUCAUUAUUUAUUUAUUUGGGUGUUAAACCUACUGUAUUCCAACUUCCUUAUGGUUUAAAAACUAAUUUACUAGCCAUAGAUGCAUUGAAAUAAGCAAACAACACAUGAAAAACAGAAUCUGUCAAAAACAGAACAGUCUGUAGCAAUCUGUAACUAAUGCAAACUUCUGGAACUCUAAAAUUCCUACCAAAAUAGGAAGUACUGUACAAUUUGUUUAUUGAUCAGAAGCAAAAAGAAUCAAUGCAAAAACUUGUUUCUGUGAUUUAUUGAAUUUUUUCCUGUGAGCGCAAAGUUUCUGUUUUUCAGCAGAAUCAAAUCAACUAUCAUCGUAGUUUAUCCUAUAGGUUCUACUUGGCACAAACACUAAAUAAAACAUGAAAACACAUCUAAACAGAGAGUGGAUGCAAGAUUUAUUCCUAAAAAGGAGCAAAAACAAAGAACAUAAAGAAAAAUUGGGUUGCCUCCCAACUAGCGCUAUCAUUUAACGCCCCUAGCUAGGCAUAAAAGCGAAGAUAGAUCUAAGUAGUGCCAUCUUUGAUUUUCAGUUUUUUAGCGGAGUCAUGCUCGAAUCCGGGAGGGUCUUUCCGCUUCCCUUCAUACUCGGAAAUUUUUAGAUCUAAAGAAUCCAACCGCUUAUUGCAAAGAGUAAUCAACAUAUUCAUGUGGUGAAGAUUUCCGCUAACACUUUUAAGAGGCUCAAGAGACUUUUGUAAAUUUUUUGUUACUUCACAAAUCUUUCCAAACAAUUGCGUUUCUUCUUGGGUAGGAUGUCAUCCUCCCUUUUGAGGCAGUGUUCCCACUAUUCCCUCUAUAAUUUCAUGCGCAAUACUAGGAUCAAUUUCAAUAAAAUUUCCCUUGGCAAUGCAAUCCAAGAGUUGUCUAUGCGUCAUAUUUAAACCAACAUAAAAAUUGCGAAGAAGAAUUCUAAAGUUCACCUCUAGGGUGCAUUUGCGAUAAGAUUCCAUCAUCCUAUACCAAGCAUCUUUUAAGUUUUCUCCUUGCCUUUGCUUGAAGUGAAGAACUUCAAACUCAGGAGACAUAGGAGCGGAUAAGGAACUAGACAUUGCGAUAAGGUAAACGAUCUAACACACGAGCAAACGGAAAAAGGCAAGCGAAAAAGAGAGAGAGGAGAAGAUUGCGAAAGAGAGGGCGAAUAAAACGGCAAGGGUGAAGUGGGGGAGAGGAAAACGAGAGGCAAAUGGCAAAUAAUGUAAAUGCGAGGGAGAUGAGUUUUUGAUGGGUACUUGGUAUGUCUUGACUUGAGCGAAGACCUCCCCGGCAACGGCGCCAGAAAUCCUUCUUGCUAUGUCUUGAGCUAGUGUUGGUUUUCCCUGAAGAGGAGAGGGUGAUGCAGCAAGUGUAGCGUAAGUAUUUCCCUCAGUUUUGAGAACCAAGGAAUUAAUCCAGUACGAGGCUCCUCAAAAGUCCCACGCACCUACACAAACAAACUGAGAACUCGCAACAACGCAAUAAAGGGGUUGUCAAUCCCUUCACGGCCACUUGCGAAAGUGAGAUCUGAUAGAGAUAGUAUGAUAAGAUAAAUAUUUUUUUGGGUAUUUUAUAAUAUAGAUGCAAAAAGUAAAGAUGCAAAUAAAAGUAGAUUGAAAGCAAAUAUGAUAAGAGAUAGGGGGCCAUAGGUUUCACUAGAGGCUUCUCUCGAGAUAUCAUAAGUAUUACGGUGGGUGAACAAAUUACUGUCGAGCAAUUGAUAGAAAAGCGCAUAGUUAUGAGAUUAUCUAGGCAUGAUCGUGUAUAUAGGCAUCAUGUCCAUAACAAGUAGACCGACUCCUGCCUGCAUCUACUACUAUUACUCCACACAUCGACCAACUCCUGCCUGCAUCUAGAGUAUUAAGUUCAUAAGAACAGAGCAACACAUUAAGCAAGAUGACAUGAUCUAGAGGGAUAAACUCAUGCAAUAUGAUAUAAACCCCAUCUUGUUAUCCUCGAUGGCAACAAUACAAUAUGUGUCUUGCAACCCUUUCUGUCACUAGGUAAGAACACCGCAAGAUUGAACCCAAAGCUAAGCACUUCUCCCAUGGCAAGAAAGAUCAAUCUAGUAGGCCAAACCAAACUAAUAAUUCGAAGAGACUUGCAAAGAUAACUCAAUCAUACAUAAAAGAAUUCAGAGAAGAUUCAAUUAUUAUCCAUAGAUAAAUCUGAUCAUAAACCCAAAAUUCAUCGGAUCUCGACAAACACACCGCAAACAGAGAUUACAUCGAAUAGGUCUCCACAAGAGAGGGGGAGAACAUUGUAUUGAAAUCCAAAAACAGAGAAGAAGCCAUCUAGCUAAUAACUAUGGACCCGUAGGUCUGUGGUAAACUACUCACAACUCAUCGGAGGGGCAAGGAUGUUGAUGUAGAAGCCCUCCGUGGUCGAUUGCCCCUCCGGCAGAGUGCCGACGAAGGCUCCAAGAUGAGAUCUCGCGGAUACAGAAGGUUACGGCGGUGGAAAUUGUGUUUUGUGGUGCUCCUGGAUGUUUUCGGGGUACGUAGGUAUAUAUAGGAGGAAGAAGUACGUCGGUGGCCGCCCGAGGGGCCCACGAGACAGGGGGCGCGCCCUACAGGGGGGGGGGGGGCGGCCUCCUAUCUCGUGGCUUCCUCGGCAGCUUCUUGGCUUGCACUCCAAGCCAUCUGGAUCAUGUUCGUUCCAAAAAUCACGCUCCCGAAGGUUUCAUUCCGUUUGGACUCCAUUUGAUAUUCCUUUUCUUCGAAAUACUGAAAUAGGCAAAAAACAGCAAUAUGGGCUGGGCCUCCAGUUAGUAGGUUAGUCCCAAAAAUGAUAUAAAUGUGUAAAAUAAAGCCCAUAAACAUCCAAAAGGGGUAAUAUAAUAGCAUGGAACAAUAAAAAAUUAUAGAUACGUUGGAGACGUAUUAGGUCAUCAAGAACAUUCUCUAACCUAGACAAGUUAUCUGCAACAGGGUUCUCAGCUCCCUUUCUAUCAAUAAUGUGCAAAUCAAACUCUUGGAGCAGGAGAACCCAUCUAAUGAGUCUAGGCUUAGCAUCUUUCUUUUCCAUAAGAUAUUUAAUAGAAGCAUGAUCAGUGUGAAUAGUAACUUUGGAAUCAACAAUAUAAGGUCUAAACUUAUCACAUGCAAACACAACUGCUAAGAAUUCUUUUUCAGUGGUAGCAUAAUUUCUUUGGGUUGUAUCAAGAGUCUUACUAGCAUACUGGAUAACAUUGAAUUUCUUAUUGACUCUUUGCCCUAGAACAACCCCUACAGCAUAAUCACUAGCGUCACACAUAAUUUCAAAAGGUAUAUUCCAAUCAGGUGGCUGAACAACAGGUGCAGUGAUCAAAGCUUUCUUAAGUAUUUCAAAUGCUUCUACACAAUCAUCAUCAAAGACAAAAGGAAUAUAUUUUUGCAAUAAAUUAGUCAGAGACCUAGAGAUCUUAGAAAAGUCCUUAAUGAACCUCCUAUAAAAACUGGCAUGACCAAGGAAACUUCUUAUAUCUUUUAUGUCCUUGGGACAUGGCAUCUUUUCAAUAGCAUCAACUUUAGCUUUAUCAACUUCAAUACCUCUCUCGGAAAUCUUAUGCCCCAAGACAAUGCCUCCAUUAACCAUAAAGUGACACUUUUCCAAAUUCAGGACGAGACUAGUGUCUUCGCAUCUCUGCAAAACUCGAUCAAGAUUGCUCAAACAAUUAUCAAAGGAGGAUCCAUAAACAGAGAAGUCAUCCAUGAAUACCUCACAAAUCUUUUCACAAAAAUCAGAGAAUAUAGCCAUCAUGCAUCUUUGAAAGGUAGCAGGUGCAUUACAUAAACCAAAAGGCAUAUGUCUAUAAGCGAAAGUACCAAAAGGGCAAGUAAAAGUAGUUUUUGCUUGAUCUCCCGCUGAGACAGGUAUUUGAGAGAAACCAGAAUAACCAUCUAGAAAGCAGAAAUGUGUAUGUUUGGAUAGUCUUUCUAGCAUUUGAUGAAUAAAAGGUAAAGGGUAAUGAUCUUUCUUAGUAGCUUUAUUUAGUUUACGAAAAUCAAUUACCAUCCUAUAACCUGUAAUAAUUCUUUGUGGGAUCAAUUCAUCUUUAUCAUUAGGAACAACAGUAAUACCUCCCUUUUUAUGGACAAUAUGGACAGGGCUUACCCAAUCACUAUCAGCAACGGGAUAAAUUAUACCUGCCUCAAGGAGCUUUAGUAUCUCAUUUCUUACCACUUCUUUCAGUUUAGGAUUUAGUCGUCGUUGAGGAUCUCUAAUUGGUUUGGCAUCGUCCUCCAAUUUAAUUUUGUGUUGGCAUAACGUGGGACUAACGCCCUUAAGAUCAUCUAGAGUAUAUCCAAUAGCAGCUCGAUGCUUCUUCAGAGUUUUCAAUAAUCUUUCUUCUUCUUGCUCUGAAAGGUUAGCACUAAUAAUAACAGGAUAUAUUUUCUUUUUAUCGAGAUAAGCAUACUUAAGAUUAUCAGGUAAAGGUUUGAGUUCAAACACGGAUCACCCUUGGGUGGAGGGGGAUCCCCAAGAAUUUCAACGGGAAGGUUAUGUUUCAAAAUAGGUUCCUGUUUAAGGAAUAAUUCAUCUAUUUCCCUUCUUUCUUUCAUAAACAUAUCAUUUUCAUGGUCUAGCAAAUAUUGUUCUAAUGGAUCAGUAGGAGGCACGGCAAUAGAAGCGAGACCAAUUAUAUCAUCUUUACUAGAUAAUUCUUUAUCACGGGGUUGUCUACGAAAUUUAGCAAAAUUAAACUCAUGAGUCAUAUCAUCUAAGGCAAUCGUAAGAACAUCCUUUUUGCAAUCAAUCUUAGCUUUAACAGUGUUCAAGAAGGGUCUACCAAAUAUAAUGGGACAAAAGGCAUCUUGUGGAGAACCAAGAACAAGAAAGUCGGCAGGGUAUUUGACCUUCCCACACAAGACUUCAACAUCUCUAACAAUCCCAAAAGGCUUAAUAGUAUCUCUAUUAGCAAGCUUGAUAGUAACAUCAAUAUCUUCCAAUUCAACGGGUGCAAUGUCAUGCAUACUUUCUUUAUAUAAGUCGUAGAGUAUCGCACUAGCACUAGCACCCAUAUCACAUAAGCCAUGAUAACAAUGAUCUCUUAUUUUAACAGAAAUAACAGGCAUGCCUACAACGGGCCUAUGUAUCUUAGCAUCUGGUUUUGCAAUAUUAGCAGCUUCAUCACAGAAAUAAAUAACAUGCCCAUCUAAAUUAUCAUCCAAGAGAUCUUUAACAAUAGCAAUACUAGGUUCAACAUUGAUUUGCUCAGGAGGUGUAUAAGUCCUAGUAUUACUCUUACGAACAACAGUCGAAGUUUUAGCAUGAUCCUUUAUCCUAACAGGAAAAGGUGGUUUCUCAACAUAAGUAGUAGGAACAAUAGGAUCACUAUAAGUGAUAGUCUUUGCUUCAACUGUAAUAGGUGCAACUACUUUCACUUCAACAGGAGGAUUAUAUUUAAACCACUUCUCUUUAGGGAGAUCAAGUGAGUAGCAAAAGAUUCACAGAAAGAAUCUGCUAUCUCAGAGUCAAGUCCAUACUUAGCGCUAAAUCCACGAAAAACAUCGGUAUCCAUAAAAGAUUUAACACAAUCGAACUUAGGUGUCAUACCUGACUCCUUACCAUCGUCGGAACCCCAAUCUUCAGAGUUGCGUUUAAUUCUUUCCAAUAAGUCCCAUUUGAAAUCAAUAGUCUUCAGCAUAUAAGAACCAGCACAGGAAGUAUCGAGCAGGUUGCGAUUAUCAAGAGAAAGCCGAGCAUAAAAUUUUUGAAUAAUCAUUUCCCGAGAGAGCUCAUGAUUGGGGCAUGAAUAUAACAUUGACUUAAGCUUCGCCCAAGCUUGAGCGAUGCUUUCUCCUUCGCGAGGCUAGAAAUUAUAUAUGUAAUUACGAUCACGAUGAACAAGAUGCAUAGGAUAGAACUUCUGGUGAAAUUCCAACUUCAAUCGCUUAUAAUUCCAAGAUCCCGUAUCAUCACAUAGCCUAAACCAUGUCAAUGCAUCUCCGUUCAAAGAUAAAGGGAAGACCUUCCUUUUGACAACGUCAUCGGGGAUACCUGCAAGCUUAAAUAAUCCACAAACUUCAUCCACAAAGAUAAGGUGUAAAUCGGGAUGCAACAUUCCAUCUCCUGCAAAUGGAUUAGCUAGCAGUUUCUCUAUCAUACCCGAAGGAAUCUCAAAAUAAACAUUUUCAUAAAGUUCAGUAGGUUGAGGAGCAACUCUUUGCUCUAAUGGUUGGGGCGAAGAUGCCCCAAACAAGCCCCUCAAAGGAUUAGUUUCCAUAGUAACAAGUAACAAAAAUUUCAGCACACUAUAUAAAUGUUUCCUUACCAAGUUCCACUCACCAAAAGCGCUACACUCCCCGGCAACGGCGCCAGAAAAGAGUCUUGGUGACCCACAAGUGUAGGAGAUCUAUCGUAGUCCUUUCGAUAAGUAAGAGUGUCGAACCCAAUGAGGAGUAGAAGGAAAUGAUAAGCGGUUUUCAGCAAGGUUUUCUGCAAGCACUGAAAUUGUAGGUGAUAAAUAGUUUUGUGAUAAGAUAAAUAGUAACGAGUAACAAGUAAACAAAGUAAAUAAAGUGCAGCAAGGUGGCCCAAUCCUUUAUGUAGCAAAGGAUAAGCCUGGACAAUUUCUAAAAAUCAUAAAGGAGCUCCCGAGGACACAUGGGAAUUAUUGUCAAGCUAGUUUUCAUCACGCUCAUAUGAUUCACGUUCGGUACUUUGAUAAUUUGAUAUGUGGGUGGACCGGUGCUUGGGUACUGCCCUUACUUGGACAAGCAUCCCAUUUAUGAUUAACCCCUAUUGCAAGCAUCCGCAACUACAACAAAAGUAUUAAAGUAAACCUAACCAUAGCAUGAAACAUGUGGAUCCAAAUCAGCCCCUAACGAAGCAACGCAUAAACUAGGGUUUAAGCUUCUGUCACUCUAGCAACCCAUCAUCUACUUAUUACUUCCCUAUGCCCUCCUAUAGGCCCAAUAAUGGUGAAGUGUCAUGUAGUUGACGUUCACAUGACACCACUAGAGGAGAAGACAACAUACAUCUCAUCAAAAUAUCGAACGAAUACCAAAUUCACAUGACUACUAAUAGCAAGACUUCACCCAUGUCCUCAGGAACAAACGUAACUACUCACAAAGCAUAUUCAUGUUCAUAAUCAGAGGUGUAAUAAUAUGCAUUAAUGAUCUGAACAUAUGAUCUUCCACCAAGUAAAGCAAUAAGUAUCAACUACAAGGAGUAAUCAACACUACUAGCAACCCGCAGGUACCAAUUUGUGGUUUUGGAUACAAGAUUGGAUACAAGAUUGGAUACAAGAGAUGAACUAGGGUUUGAGAGGAGAUGGUGCUGGUGAAGAUGUUGAUGGAGAUUGACCCCCUCCCGAUGAGAGGAUCGUUGGUGAUGACGUUGGUGAUGAUUUCCCCCUCCCGGAGGGAAGUGUCCCAGGCAGAACAGCUCUGCCAGAGCCCUAGAUUGGUUCCGCCUCGUGGCGGCGGAGUUUCUCCCGUAAGCUUGCCCACGAUUUUUUCCAGGGUAAAAGCCUUCAUAUAGCGGGAGAUGGACACCAGAGGGCCACCAGGGGGCCCAGGAGACAGGGGGCGCGCCCAGUAAGGGGGGGCGCGCCCCCACCCUCCUGGACAGGGUGUGGGCCCCCUGAUGUAUUUCUUUUGCUCAAUAAUUCUUAAUAAAUCCAAAAACAGGUUUCGUGGAGUUUCAGGACUUUUGGAGCAGUGCAGAAUAGGUUUCCAAUGUUUGCUCCUUUUCCAGCCAGAAUUUCAGCUGCCGGCAUUCCCCCUCUUCAUGGUAAACCUUGUAAAAUAAGAGAGAAUAGCCAUAAGUAUUGAGAUAUAAUGUGUAAUAAUAUCCCAUAAUGCAAUAAAUAUUGAUAUAAAAGCAUGAUGCAAAAUGGACGUAUCAGCCUGCGCACCACCUUCUCCUUCACUGGUGAUGCGUUCCCCGACGUCUUCUACGGCGCCAUCACCGGCGAUGGCUGCCCUCGUGGGAGGGUCGGCCGGUGGGGGCGGUCAGGGGCCUUCCACUGUCUCGCCGCGCAGACCUACUCUUGCGGCAUCGCCCGUCUCAGGUUCGUCCACAUGUGCUGGUGCUGCGCCAGUGGUUGGUGGGGAUCCGAUGGCGUCUCUGGGAUCUGGACACCGGCCAAGGCCGUGAGAGGCCUCGAGGACGCUUGGUGAUCUUUCGGUUGAUCCAGUUCAGUUGCGUUCUGUUGGGGGUCGGGCAGACGGUCUUACCCCUAACAUGGCCACGAGGGAGGACGUCAUAGCUUUUGGCGGGAUCCCAGAUCCUAUUUCUGAGGGGCGGCGGAUAAGCAACCGUCUCCAGGAGUAUCCGGAUGUGGACGACAUGCAGCUAAGGUGCGCUUUGCUACCGGCCAAGCUUCGUGACAUUGAGGUCACUACUGGUUAUUUUCAGAGCCACUGCGUUGAUCCGUAUGUGGUCGCUACUCACUCCGAUGGAGGCCAGGGAGCGUUUGGUUACUACGUCUACCCGAUGGGAGAUGGUAGCACGGGGUAUUUUCAACCGGUUUGGAUGGCGGUCAUGUAAUAGGAUAGGCAUGUAGUGCUCUUAUCUUUCUAUGCCAGCCGGUUGUGGCUUUUCCUUUUUCUCUGUUCAGCUCUGGUGGAGCCUUUUACCUUUUUUGUUCGAGACUUGGAGUCCUUUGUUGGAUAUUUUGCUUAUUAAUAAUAUGAGCCGUAUGCAUCAUUCAGAUGCAGAGGCUGAGGUAUCCCCUUUUCAAAAAAAAGAUUUUUUCCCUAUUUUAAAUGGUGGUACUGUUCAUGCCCGGGCUGAGCCCGGGCACCAAAUCGCCACACUCCUCAAAUGGCUUGUAAUAGCAAGACUCAUUUAGUUGAUAACUGUUCUAUGCGUUUGUAGCUAGCCAAUCUAAGCAUCAGCCAUUGUAAAAUGAUGGAUGUAACCUGUUCUUCACAUAGGCAAUCUAAACAUCAGCCAUUGCAAAAUUAUGGAUGUAACCCGUUCUUCAGAUCAAUGAAAGGCGCCGGAGGCGCCACCUCUUAGCUAGAAAAAAAAUGCUUGCCGCUCGCUACAAGCGACGCAUAUCAGCUCAUAAACAAGCAAGCCAUCGCCUGGGCCGGCCGAACAAUCGUUUUUCCUAAGCUUUGACCAAACAAGCGUGACAAUAUGAACAGUCAACACACUUAAUUUGAUCUUAACUUUCCUAUUCCUCUCCUUUUGCAUCCACGUUCCUACAAGGUUUUGCGUAAAAAAAACAUUUCUACAAAACAAGCAGCAGAAUUCACCACAGCUAAGCGCGGGGUAUCAACUGUAGUUUAUAACGAAGUUCAGCAAUAUUUCUCUAGUUCGGUUUGGUCAUAACUCAUGUAGCCAGAAUACUGCACAUUUAUUCCUCUCACGAAAGGAUAACAAUCACAAUAACAAUUAAAAUGACAUGCAGAUGCUGCAAGCUUCUCACUAAAGGUGUUUGUAUGGACAUCAUCUCCAGCUUAUUUACAGAUAUAUACAGAUACUGCAAGUGGAUUAAGCGGAGAAUAUCCCAAACGUUCCAUCAUCUUCCAUCAUCAAGACCAGACGCAACUCAGCGACUACAUCAACUAGCAGAAGACAUAAUACCCCUAGCACAAAGAUGUCACGGGACACCACACCCUAUAUGGUCUAUGCUAAUAGUAACAGCAGUUGCAAAUACAACACAAACUUACUUAUAGGCAGCAGUGCUAGCGCUAGGAUCAGCAUAGCCCUCAAGGACCUGGAACAGCUUGAUAUGACACUCCCUCGAGGACCUGGAACAGCUUGAUAUCAAGGACUUGGAACAGCUUGAUAUGACACUAAGAGCCUGUUCGGCAAUUCACCAGCUCCGCGAAAUACGGGAGCGCAUGGAGCGACACUUUGGGGACUCCAAGAAAAUGGCCUGCGGACCGCUCCGCUCCGGGACGAGGAAAGCGUGGAGCUGACUUGUUUGGUGAUGCUCUGGCCGCUCCAGAAGCGGAGAGCUGUCAAACAGGCUCUAAGCAUCUGCAACGGGAAAACCUGGAUCCUGGAUAUUGCGCAUCUCAUUCUCCUGCCGUCGAGUCAGCCGCCGUGUAUCAGAAGUGAAAAACUCUGGAAUGUAGAUGAUGACACUCACACGGUUGAUCAGCUGAUCGAAUCUCUGUCUUUCAUCCUCACUAACAUGGCUUUCCCAGUGAUGUGCGGGUAACGCCAACCGCCUCCUCAUGUCAAGGAUAAACUGACAAUCCACAUGCCACGAGGUAAUCAUAUUCCACAUCUCCCCAGGCAACACAGAGGCGGCCUCCCCUGCUUCCAGUCUACGGACCAUCUCGAGCAAAACAGCAAUGAAUCUCAUAACCUCGCAGAAAACCACUGCAGCAUUCUGCACAGCUCUCCGGACUGUAGCAAUGUGCAGAGUUCUCUGGACUGCAGGAAUCAACCUCAACCUGUCCUCAUGGCGUGCCAAGGUGUUGAAGAUAAAAACCAUGUCCUCGGGACCACCUACUGUCGGAAUGCUGCAUAGUAUCGCUUGGUCACCGUCACACUUGUUUCACAUAAGAACAAACAUGAAAACUGUUUUACUGAUUAACCAUACCUGCGAGGAUCACGAGAAUAGUUGGAAGUGAAACCCAAAUCAAGAGCAACAAUAAAGCUAGGGACUUGUUGAUCACUGAAUCUAUACCAAAUGCCCCAAUUGCCAUCGAGUGAACGGCGAAAUGCGACAAGGUAUAAGUCAGUAUCUCUAAUCAGCAAAUCCACUUGCAGCCGCGGCUGGUAAGGGUCUAUCAACCGGAUGAUAUGAUAGCUAUGGCCUGAAUUAAACAUGUAACGGUGAAUCGACGAAUGCCAAAUGUUGAUUCAUAAAGUACAAAUGAAAAGCAAAAGACCGGCAUAACUUACACACAAAUUUUGAAUAUAAAGGAGAAACAAAAUGACAUUUAAAAAUAACAGCGGAGUAGACAUCCUCGCUGGUUCACUCUCCCUUUCACAGCCUCUCUCACUCACAUGACGGGUACAAGUGAACAUAAAAAGGAGCACCGUUAGAGGCACUGUUGUAGGGGAAAACAAAAUGUGUUAAAAACAGAAAUUCCCCUGAACUCUUCUAACACUCUACGCACAACACAGAUCUCAAGUAAAGUGGACGCGGAUAGUGCGUGUAACUGAGCUCAAGCACAAAAAAUCUACUCCCCAUUCAUUUCUGGUUACAGUGUGACAGAUGCAAGGAAUUUUUGGGCUGAAAAAUUAUUUGAUAUAAAUUAAUGUUUAGUCAUGAUCAUGUGUCACAUGAAAACCAUUGAAUAGAGAACAUCCAAAAUUCUGAAUUUACUUUCUACUCGAAGUGUAUGCGUCGAUCAGCUUCAACUUUGCAAGCAGAUGAGGAUGAAAGUAAUCCUAUUUUAGCCAUUGAUAUAGCUUUUAUGUUCAGAAAAUAUCUACAUGAUCAGUGAUAUUACCCGGGGAAGGUCGGUUGAAGGGAUUGGGAGCCGGGGUGACCGGUACACCCAUGUACACCAGCAGAGCCAGGACACGGUGACGGGUCGUCCUUCUAUUGACCAUAGAACGCAAUGCUUGCCCUCCGCCUCUCACGUCAAAGAUGAUGACACGGACAUCCUGUGCAUAAGCAUUAAUUGAAAGCCGAAUCAAAACAAAGAAAAACAUGGAUACGCAGUAGAAUGUUACAGCUAGUAUUGAGAAACACUGAACAACAUGUGAAUAAACAAUAGAACUACAAAUAAUCAUAAUAUUUGCAUAUGCAUAUACUAUAACAACGUUACAUCUGCAAGUAUUUAAGUUCCGUGUGUCUAUACUCUAUACACAUGCAAACAAAAUUACGCAAUUCACAUAUCUGUUCGAAGAAAACCACUCAUAACUAAAGGAGUCCAAUAAAGAAAAGCAUAAGGGUGAGGACACAGAUUAUCAAAGCCAUACGCAGGAGCAUAACAAUUGAAAUAUAUACAGAUUCUACUGCUUUCAUUUGUGCCUUAGCUAAAAGAGCUCAAUAAAGAAAAGCAUAAGGGUGAGCAUACUAAAUAUCAAAACCAUAUGCAGGAGUACAAUAAUUGAGAUCUAUACAUGUUCUAUUUCUUUUAUUUGCACCUUAACUAAAAGAGUUCAACAAAGAAAAGCACAAGGGUGAGCGCACAGAAUAUGAAAACCAUAUGCAGGAGUAUAACAAUUGAGAUGUAUGCAUGUUUUGUUGCUUGUAUCUGCACCUGCACAUAUUAUUUAUAACAUUUCUGAAUUUGUGAUUUCAUAGUGUUUCAUCUGCAUGCACAUAUCUACACCGAUCAAAAGCCAAAAUCCAGUCACAGUUUAAGCUGUUGAAACCUUAAUAUAAGGUCUCAACCGUAAUGUACAAGUCUUCUCUAACCUUCUCAUUUGCAAUCCGUGCACAAAACUGCGACAGCGUGGUAGAAAGAUACGAACCUGAAGUGCAGUCUCACUGAGCGAGCACAACAAUCUGCGACACAACUUCCGCACAGAUGUGCAGAAAAUAUUGCUUUCCCAAAGGGGCAUACCCGUAUCUCUGCUUAAAAGAUACGGGUGGAUUUGCACAUCGCAUUAGGGCUUGUUCGGUUAGGCAGGAUUUGGAGAGGUUUGGAAGGGAUUGAAAGGGAUUAAAUCCCUUGCAAGUCAAAAUCCUCUCAAACCUCUUCAAUCCCACUCAAUCCCUUUGGUGAGGGGAUUAACCAAACAGGGCCUGGAAAUUGAUUUGAUUCCUCGCGUAUUUCCUUCUCCGGAUGAUUCUAGAAAAUAUAUUAAUCAGAUCGGUAUACCAUAAAUAUUAUUAGUAUUACGUAAAAACAAAUUAAAUAAACCUGCCUCCAAGGAAUGCUGGCGAGGUGAACGGAGUGGCGGCGGCGGAGGUGGUGCCGCCAUGCCAAGAUCUGCGCCGCUGUGGGGAUCUCCUCCUGUUGAGGGAGGAACAUAUGAGAGGGUCGGCGGUGAAGACGACACGUCGACACCGAUGACGUGCGCCGUGUUUAAUUGCUCCGGGGAGAGAGAGAGAGAGAGAGAGAGAGAGAGAGAGAGAGAGCAGACCUCUCUUGUCCCGCCGCCGCUGCCCGGCGACGGCGCUGUAUCCGCCGCCCUACGUCGGCCCUUCGCUGCUCGAGUUUUGUGCCGCUGUCGUCCUACGUCGUGAUCUUGGCCGCCCGGGUUUGCGCCGCCCGCCGCCCGCCGCCCGCCGCCUCUUCCCGGUGACGGCACUGUAUCCGCCGCCCUACGUCUGGCCUUCGCCGCCUGAGAAAGAGGAGAGGGUUUUGCGCCGCCGCCACCAACGGGGAAAGAGGAGAGGGGGCAAAAGGUAGCGAACAGAUGGGCUUUUGAUUGGCCCUCUCCGUUUCUCUUUCCGGGAGCGGAACGAGCCCGUGGAUCCGCCAUGGGCCAGGCAUGGCACGGCACGACCCGUUUCUUAUUAUUUUUCAUUUUUCAGAUUUUAUAUAUACCUAAAAUACAGCCCAACGGGCUGAAAAUAUGCGACCUGGGGUGCUGAACGUGCCACCGACUAGCCCGUUUACUAACUAGGUCGUGCUUGGGCCAGGGAGUGCUGCACGCAGGCUGGCACGACACGGCCCGUCUAAUAAUCGUGCCCUUGUGGGCCAUGCCGUGCCAGGCGCGAUUGUGAUGGACCGGGCCGGGCCGGCCCAUUUGGCCAGCUUUGAGUCGGUGUGUGUCUACUUUUUUGUUGCUGAGGAUUUUGUGUCUAUUACUCUAGUGUAGUUAAACCUGGUCAACUGGGUCGUGCUAUGCGGACCGGCCAAUGAACACGCGUGUCCGGCCCGACACUGGACUAAAAGGGUCGUGCCCAACAUGCGGCACGCAUGCUGGACACAUUUCGUAGGUGGGUCGGCACAGGCACGCCUCCAUCGAAUUGAGUUGUUGGCGUGGGAGGCGCGAGGUGUGGAGGACACAUGACGAGCGAGGGGCGGUGAUUUGAGCCAUUUGAGAACACCUAACUGAAGGUUAUCCUUUUUGUUUUUGUAAGGAACACGAUUGCAUUCCAUUAUAUAUCAGUAUUGGAUAGAUUUCUGGCUUUUUUGUUUUUUUGCGAACAGAUAGAUUUCUAGCUACAACGUCAUUUACAAAAUCUGGAAACUGGCCAAGCCAAGUCUCACAUGUGCCAGCUUCCAUUUUAGCACCAUGUGCUACUAAACAGUGCGCUACUAUAUUACAAACUCUGGGACAUGAUACAACAGAAACUUCACUAAAUCCCACACGCAAUUUGAACUUCAUGUCUUUGAUAACAGCUCCCAGAGUCGACAUAUCAUAUUCUUCAGUGCAAACUGCGUUCUUCAGCUGUAUAGAGUCUGUCUCCAUAAUUACUCGAUUGCAUCCCAUUUGGAUGGUUGUGCUUAUGGCAUAAAGCAUCGUCAAAGCCUCUGAAUGAAGCGCAUCCGACACUCGCUCCAAACUACCUGCUCCAGCGGCCAUCAACAUACCACAAUCAUCUCUGAUUAUAAAGCCCCAUCCUCCAUUCUUUUUGUUUCUUUUAGAAAUGUGUCGUCGUAUUGAUUUUCAAGAUUUCUGGUGGAGGUCUGGACCAUCUUUCCUUUUGUUGUUGCUUUGGCAUUCCUCCUAUUUUGUCUUAAGAAGCUGCAUAAAAAGAUAAUUAAUGGAGUGACAGACUUCAUCAGAGGAUCUAAUAUUAUCUCCUGCAUUUGCUUUAUUCCUUUCAUGCCACCAAUACCAAAGGAGUAGGCAAGUUUUAAGUUUUUCUUCUUUGUUAAGGUUCACAAUUAUUUCCAUACACCCCAAAGCACCUGCAUAAGACAAAAUCUGCAGUCUAACAUGCUCCACGUGAGCUUUCAUCCACACAUCCUUAACCUUCUUGCACUUAAUGAAGCAAUGUCUGCCAUCCUCAUCUAACCGAAAACAAAUAGGGCAGCGGGUAUCUACUUGCAUACCUCUGUACUGAAGCUUCAUGCGCAAAGGUAGGCUAUUUGUAGACAUGCACCAUAAGAAGUGAAGAAUCUUAUUUGGUAGAGGAAGCGACCACAACUUUGACCAAUUAAAAUCAUCUGCUUCUUCAUCUGCACCGGAGGAGGAAGUUAGUACUGAAAUGGAUUCUCGAGCCACACUAUCUACAACAACUCUAUAUAAAUAUUUUAUUGAAAAUAUACCUUUUUUAUCGUAAUGCCUGCUAUGAAAGCAUCGUUAUGUUCAUGAAUUGGGAUUUGUAAAAUGAUUUUCGCAUCUUCUGGAAGAAUGGUUUGUCUAACUAAAUCUCCAUCCCAAUUGUUUGUGCUAGGAUCAAGCAGAUCUUUUACUUGGAUUAUAGUGUUUUUACCCCUUUGAGUGACGACUCUUCUGGUGGUACCUCUCGGAAUCCAAGGAUCGGACCAAAUGUCAAUGUUAUUGCCCUUCUUGAGCAUGAUUACCCAUUCUAGUAUACUACGUCAUGUGUAAGAGAUGCAAAACUUUGGGCCUAGCCUAAAGAAUUGAGCCAUUUGGGUAAUACAGUGCCGACAAAACCUGUGCACACAGAGAUGUUGGGUUAUGGAUAAGCCUCCAUGCCUGCCUUGCAAGCAUAGCUAGGUUGAAAGCAUAAGGUCCCUAAAGCCCACUCAUCUAGUUUUUUUGUCAGCAUCAAUUUCUAACAACUGACCCAGUGAAUUUUAUUCUCCUUAUCCAUUUGGCUCCACCAAUAUAUAUUGAUCAUUGAGCUCAGCUCAUCACAAAGUGACUUGGUUAAGUCAAAGCAAGCCAUUGAGUACACUGGGAUUGCUUGUGCUACAACUUGUAUGAGAAUUUCUUUCCCUCCUUCCGAAAAGAGUAUUUCCUUCCAAGCAUGAAUCUUCUUCCAAACUCUCUCCUUUAUAUAUUCAAAGGUUAUUUUUUGGCUUUACCCACAUAGUACAGAACACCUAAAUGAAGGAAAUAUGCCCUAGAGGCAAUAAUAAAGUUGUUAUUUUAUAUUUCCUUAUAUCAUGAUAUAUUUUUAUUAUUCAUGCUAGAAUUGUAUUAAACGGAAACUUGAUACAUGGGUGGGUACAUAGACAAAACACCGUGUCCCUAGUAUGCCUCUACUUGACUAGCUCGUUGAUCAAAGAUGGUUAAGUUUCCUAGCCAUGGACACGUGUUGUCAUUUGGUGAUCGGGAUCACAUCAUUAGGAGAAUGAUGUGAUGGACAAGGCCCAUCCGUUUGCAUAGCAUAAACGAUGAUUAAGUUUUAUUGCUACUGCUUUCUUCAUGUCAAAUACAUAUUGAAGGAAAUAUGCCCUAGAGGCAAAAAUAAAGUUAUUAUUUAUUUCCUUAUUUCUUGAUAAAUGUUUAUUAUUCAUGCUAGAAAUGUAUUAACCGGAAACUUAGUACAUGUGUGAAUACACAGACAAAACAUAUUGUCCCUAGUAUGCCUCUACUUGACUAGCUCGUUAAUCAAAGAUGGUUAUGUUUCCUAACCAUAGACAUGUGUUGUCAUUUGAUGAACGGGAUCACAUCAUUAGGAGAAUGAUGUGAUGUACAUGAACCACCCGUUAGCUUAGCAUUAUGAUCGUUACAGUUUCAUUGCUACUGCUUUCUUCAUGACUUAUACAAGUUCCUCAGACUAUGAGAUUAUGCAACUCCCGAAUACCGGAGGAACACCUUGUGUGCUAUCAAACGUCACAACGUAAAUGGGUGAUUAUAAAGAUGAUCUACAGGUGUCUUCGAAGGUGUUUGUUGGGUUGGCAUAGAUUGAGAUUAGGAUUUGUCAAUCCGUGUUUUGGAGAGGUAUCUCUGGGCCCUCUCGGUAAUGGUUAUCACUAUAAGCCUUGCAAGCAUUGUAACUAAUGAGUUAGUUGCGGGAUGAAGUAUUACGGAAUGAGUAAAGAGACUUGUCGGACGAGAUUGAACUAGGUAUGAUGAUACCGACGAUCAAAUCUCGGGCAAGUAACAUACCGAUGACAAAGGGAACAACGUAUGCUGUUAUGCGGUUUGACCGAUAAAGAUCUUUGUAGAAUAUGUAGGAGCCAAUAUGAGCAUCCAGGUUUCGCUAUUGGUUAUUGACUGGAGAUGUGUCUCGGUCAUGUCUACAUAGUUCUCGAACCCAUAGGGUCCGCACGCUUAAUGUUCGAUGACGAUAUGUAUUAUGAGUUAUGCAUUUUUUAUGACCGAAGUUUGUUUGGAGUCCCGGAUGAGAUCACAGACAUGACGAAGAGCCUCGAAAUGGUCGAGACAUAAAGAUUGAUAUAUUGGACGGCUAUAUUCGGACACCGGAAGUGUUUCGGAAAGUUUUGGAUUAAACCAGAGUGCCGGAGGGUUACCGGAACCCCCCGGGGGAACUAAUGGGCCUCGAUGGGCCUUAGUGGGAAGAGAGGAAGGGCCAGGAGGGGCUGGGCGCCCCCUGGGUCUGAAUUGGACUAGGGGAAGGGGGCGGCGCCCCCUUUCCUUCCCUUCGCCCUCUUCCUUCCUUCUUCCCCCUCUUCCUUAGGUGGAAACCUACUAGGACUUGGAGUCCUAGUAGGAUUCCCCUCUCUGGGAGCUCCCUAGGAGGGCCGGAUGGCCUCCCCCUUGCUCCUUUAUAUACGGGGGCAGGGGCCACCCUAGAAUACACAAGUUUCUCUCCCAACCAUGUGUGGUACCCCCUCCACAGUUACACACCUCGAUCAUACCAUCGUAGUGCUUAGGCGAAGCCCUGCGCCGAUAGCAGCAUCAUCACCGUUGCCACACCAUCGUGCUGAAGGAACUCACCCUCGUCCUCAACUGGAUCAAGAGCACGAGGGACGUGAUCGAGCUGAACAUGUGCUGAACGCGGAGGUCCCGUGCGUUCAGUACUUGAUCGGUUGAAUUGCGAAGAAGUUCGACUACAUCAACCGCGUUAUUGAAACACUUCCGCUUUCGGUCUACGAGGGUACAUGGACACACUCUCCCCUCCCAUUGCUAUGCAUCACCUAGAUAGAUCUUGCGUGAUUGUAGGAUUUUUUUUUGAAAUUACCGCGUUCCCCAACAGUGGCAUCAGAGCCAGGUCUAUGCGUAGAUGUUAUAUGCACGAGUAGAACACAAAGAAUUGUGGGCGAUAAUAGUCAUACUGCUUACCACCAACGUCUUACUUUGAUUUGGCGGUACUGUUGGAUGAAGCGGCUCGGACCGACAUUACAUGACCGCGUUCAUGAGACUGGUUCUACCGACGUGCUUUGAAUAUAGGUGGCUGGCGGGUGUCUGUUUCUCCAACUUUAGUUAAAUUGAGUUUGACUAUGGCCGGUCCUUGUUGAAGGUUAAAACAGCACACUUGACGGAAAAUCGUUGUGGUUUUGAUGCGUAGGUAAGAACGGUUCUUGCUAGAAGCCCGUAGCAGCCACGUAAAACUUGCAACAACAAAGUAAAGGACGUCUAACUUGUUUUUGCAGGGCUUGCUAUGAUGUGAUAUGGUUAAGGCAUGAUAUGAUAUAAAUUGUUGUAUGAGAUGAUCAUGUUUUGUAACAAAGUUAUCGGCAACUGGUAGGAGCCAUAUGGUUGUCGCUUUAUUGUGUGCAUUGCAAUCGACAUGUAAUUGUUUUACUUUAUCACUAAGCGGUAGUGAUAGUCGUAGAAACAAUAGUUGGCAAGACAACAACGAUGCUACGAUGGAGAUCAAGGUGUCGCGCCGGUGACAAUGGAGAUCAUGACGAUGCUUCGGUUAUGGAGAUCAUGAGCACAAGAUGAUGAUGGCCAUAUCAUGUCACAUAUUUUGAUUGCAUGUGAUGUUUAUCUUUUAUGCAUCUUAUUUUGCUUAGUACGGCGGUAGCAUUAUAAGAUGAUCCCUUACUAAAUUUCAAGGUAUAAGUGUUCUCCCUGAGUAUGCAUCGUUGCUACAGUUCGUCGUGUCGAGACACCACAUGAUGAUCGGGUGUGAUAAGCUCUACGUUCACAUACAAUGGGUGCAAGCCAGUUUUGCACAUGCAAAAUACUCGGGUUGAACUUGACGAGCCUAGCAUAUGCAGAUAUGGCCUUGGAACACUGAGACCGAAAGGUCGAACGUGAAUCAUAUAGUAGAUAUGAUCAACAUAGUGAUGUUCACCAUUGAAAGCUGAUACGUAUCCAUCAUAUCUACUUUUCGAAACACUUUUGCCCUUGUUUUGGACUCUAACUUGCAUGAUUUGAAGGGAACUAACCCGGAUUGACGCUGUUUUCAGCAGAACUGCCAUGGUGUUAUUUUUGUGCAGAAAUAGAAGUUCUCGGAAUGACCUGAAAAUCCAUGGAGCAACUUUUCAGAAUUAAUAAAAAAUACUGGCGAAAGAAUCAGCGUCAGGGGCCCCACACCCUGUCCACGAGGGUGGGGGGGGGCGCCCCUCCCCUAGGGCGCGCCCCCUGCCUCGUGGCCCACCUGGACGUCCACCGACCUCAACUCCAACUCCAUAUAUUUGCUUUCAUGGAGAAAAAAAUCAGAGAGAAAGUUGCAUCGCGUUUUACGAUACGGAGCCACCGCCAAGCCCUAAUCUCUCUCGGGAGGGCUGAUCUGGAGUUCGUUUGGGGCUCCGGAGAGGGGGAUUCGUCGCCAUUGCAUCAUCAACCAUCCUCCAUCACCAAUUUCAUGAUGCUCACCGCCGUGCGUGAGUAAUUCCAUCGUAGGCUUGCUGGACGGUGAUGGGUUGGAUGAGAUUUACCAUGUAAUCAAGUUAGUUUUGUUAGGGUUUGAUCCCUAGUAUCCACUAUGUUCUGAGAUUGAUGUUGCUAUGACUUUGCUAUGCUUAAUGCUUGUCACUAGGGCCCGAGUGCCAUGAUUUCAGAUCUGAACCUAUUAUGUUUUCAUGAAUAUAUGUGCGUUCUUGAUCCUAUCUUGCAAGUCUAUAGUCACCUAUUAUGUGUUAUGACCCGACAACCCCAAAGUGACAAUAAUCGGGAUACUUCUUGAUGAUGACCUUAGUUUGAGGAGUUCAUGUAUUCACUAUGCGUUAAUGCUUUGGUCCGGUACUCUAUUAAAAGGAGGCCUUAAUAUCCCUUAGUUUCCACUAGGACCCCGCUGCCACGGGAGGGUAGGACAAAAGAUGCCAUGCAAGUUCUUUUCCAUAAGCACGUAUGACUAUAUUCGGAAUACAUGCCUACAUUACAUUGAUGAACUGGAGCUAGUUCUGUGUCACCCUAUGUUAUAACUAUUACAUGAGGAAUCGCAUCCGACAUAAUUAUCCAUCACUGAUCCAAUGCCUAUGAGCUUUUCACAUAUUGUGCUUUGCUUAUUUACUUUAUCAUUGCUACUGUUACAAUUACUAUAAACCUGCUACUUUUACUUUUGCUACUGUUACCAUUACUUCCAUACUACUUUGCUACUAAAUACUUUGCUGCAGAUACUAAGUUAUCCAAGUGUGGUUGAAUUGACAACUAAACUGCUAAUACUUGAGAAUAUUCUUUGGCUCCCCUUGUGUCGAAUCAAUAAAUUUGGGUUGAAUACUCUACCCUCGAAAACUGUUGCGAUCCCCUAUACUUGUGGGUUAUCAAGACUAUUUUCUGGCGCCAUUGCAGGGGAGCAUAGCUCUAUUCUUUGAGUCACUUGGGAUUUAUAUCUGCUGGUCACUAUGAAGAACUUGAAAGACGAAAGAACUAAGAUUUAUCCCUCAACUACAAGGGGAGGUAAGGAAUUGCCAUCUAGCUCUGCACUAGAUUCUCCUUCUGUUAUGAGUAAGCUUGUGACAACUAAACCUUCUUCUGCUAUUAAUUCUGAUAUGUCGCAUGUUAUUGAUGAUGCCACUUCUACUAUGCAUGAUACUUAUGAUGAAACUACUUCUGUGCUUGAUCUGUGCCAUUAGGUGAAUAUCUCGAUGAACAACUGCUACCUCUUGAGCACUGCGUUGGAUUUCCCCGAAGAGGAGAGGAUGAUGCAGUAAAGUAGCGUAAGUAUUUCCCUCAGUUUUUGAGAACCAAGGUAUCAAUCCAGUAGGAGACCACACACAAGUCCCUCGUACCUACACAAAACGAUAGCAACUCGCAACCAACGCUUAGGGGUUGUCAAUCCCUUCACGAUCACUUAGGAGAGUGAGAUCUGAUAGAGAUAAUUUUUUUGGUAUUUUUGAUAGAUAGAUGCAAAGUAAAAAGUAAAAGGCAAAGUAAAACAAAGCAAGUAAAUAAAGUGAUAUAGAUUGAUAUGAUAAGAAUAGACCCGGGGACCAUAGGUUUCACUAGUGGCUUCUCUCAAGACCAUAAGUAUUCUACGGUGGGUGAACAAAUUACUGUUGAGCAAUUGAUAGAAAAGCGAAUAAUUAUGAGAUUAUCUAGGUAUGAUCAUGUAUAUAGGCAUCACGUCCAAGACAAGUAGAUCGAAACGAUUCUACAUCUACUAAUAUUACUCCACUCAUCGACCGCUAUCCAGCAUGCAUAUAGAGUAUUAAGUAAAACAGAGUAACGCUUUAAGCAAGAUGACAUGAUGUAGAGGGAUAGAUUCAUGCAAUAUGAUAAAAACCCCAUCUUGUUAACCUCAAUGGCAACAAUACAAUACAUGCCUUGCAACUCUUUCUGUCACCGAGUAAGGACACCGCAAGAUUGAACCCAAAGCUAAACACUUCUCCCAUUGCAAGAACUACCAAUCUAGUUGGCCAAACCAAACGGAUAAUUCGAAGAGACUUGUAGAGAUAACUCAAUCAUACAUAAAAGAAUUCAGAGAAGAAUCAAAUAUUGUUCAUAGAUAAGCUGGAUCAUAAACCCACAAUUCAUCGGUCUCAACAAACACACCGCAAAAAGAAGAUUACAUCGAAUAGAUCUCCACAAGAGAGGGGGAGAACAUUGUAUUGAGAUCCAAAAAGAGAGAAUAAGCCAUCUAGCUAAUAACUAUGGACCCGAAGGUCUGAAGUAAACUACUCACACUUCAUCGGAGAGGCUAUGGUGUUGAUGUAGAAGCCCGCCGUGGUAGAUGCCCUCUUUGGCGGAGCUCCGGAACAGGCCCCAAGAUGGGAUCUCGCGGAUACAGAAGGUUGCGGCGGUGGAAUUAGGUUUUUGGCUCCAUAUCUGAUCUGACGGGGGUACGUAGGUAUAUAUAGGAGGAAGGAGUACGUCGGUGGAGCAACAGAGGGCCCACGAGGCAGGGGGCGCGCCCAGGGGAGGGGGGCGCCCUCCACCCUCGUGACCGCCUCUGGCACUUCUUGGAGUAGGGUCCAAGUCUCCUGGAUCACGUUCGGUGAGAAAAUCACGUUCCCGGAGGUUUUAUUCCGUUUGGACUCCGUUUGAUAUUCUGUUUCUUUGAAAUACUGAAAUAGGCAAAAAAAAUAGCAAUUCUGGGCUGGGCCUCCGGUUAAUAGGUUAGUCCCAAAAAUAAUAUAAAAGUGGAAAAUAAAGCCCAGUAUAGUCCAAAACAGUAGACAAAGUAGCAUGGAGUAAUAAAAAAUUAUAGAUACGUUGGAGACGUAUCAAGCAUCCCCAAGCUUAAUUCCUGCUCGUCCUCGAGUAGGUAAAUGAUAAAAAAGAAUUUUUGAUGCGGAGUGAUACUUUGGCAUAAUUUCAAUGUAAAUCUUCUUAAUUGUGACAUGAAUAUUCAGAUCCGAAAGAUUCAAGACAAAAGUUCAUAUUGACAUAAAAGUAAUAAUACUUCAAGCAUACUAAUCAAAGCAAUCAUGUCUUCUCAAAAUAGCAUGGUUAAGGAAAGUUAUCCCUACAAAAUCAUAUAGUCUGGCUAUGCUCUAUCUUCAUCACACAAAAUAUUUAAUCAUGCACAACCCCGAUGACGAGCCAAGCAAUUGUUUCAUACUUUAGUAAUCUCAAAACUUUUUCAACUUUCACGCAAUACAUGAGCGUGAGCCAUGGACAUAGCACUAUAGGUGGAAUAGAAUGGUGGUUGUGGAGAAGACAAAAACGGAGAAGAUAGUCUCACAUCAACUAGGCGUAUCAACGGGCUAUGGAGAUGCCCAUCAAUAGAUAUCAAUGUGAGUGAGUAGGGAUUGCCAUGCAACGGAUGCACUAGAGCUAUAAGUAUAUGAAAGCUCAACAAAAGAAACUAAGUGGGUGUGCAUCCAACUUGCUUGCUCAAGAAGACCUAGGGCACUUUUGAGGAAGCCCAUCAUUGGAAUAUACAAGCCAUGUUCUAUAAUGAAAAAUUCCCACUAGUAUAUGAAAGUGAUAACAUAUGAGACUCUCUAUCAUGAAGAUCAUGGUGCUUAUUUUGAAGCACAAGUGUGGAAAAAGGAUAGUAGCAUUGUCCCUUCUCUCUUUUUCUCUCAUAUUUUUUUUCUUUUCUUUUUUUCUUUUGGUGGGCUUCUUUGGCCUCUUUUUUAUUUUUUUUAUUUGGGCUUCUUUGGCCUCUUUUAUUUUUCAUAAAGUCCGGAGUCUCAUCCCGACUUAUGGGGGAAUCAUAGUCUCCAUCAUUCUUUCCUCACUGGGACAAUGCUCUAAUAAUGAUGAUCAUCACACUCUUAUUUUUUCUUACAACUCAACAAUUACAACUCGAUACUUAGAACAAGAUAUGACUCUAUAUGAAUGCCUCCGGCGGUGUACCGGGAUAUGCAAUGAAUCAAGAGCGACAUGUAUGAAAAUUAUGAAGAUGGCCUUGCCACAAAUACAAUGUCAACUACAUGUUCAUGCAAAGAGCAAUAUGACAAAACUAAUGUGUGUCAUAUGAACGGAACGGUGGAGAGUUGCAUGGCAAUAUAUCUCGGAAUGGCUGUGGAAAUGCCAUAAUAGGUAGGUAUGGUGGCUGUUUUGAGGAAGGUAUAUGGUGGGUGUAUGAUAUCGGCGAAAAGUGCGCGGUAUUAGAGAGGCUAGCAAUGGCGGAAAUGUGAGAGUGAGUAUAAUCCAUGGACUCAACAUUAAUCAAAAGAACUCAUGCACUUAUUGCAAAAAUUUAGAAGUCAUCAAAAACCAAAGCAUUAAACGCAUACUCCUAGGGGGAUAGAUUGGUAGGAAAAGGCCAUCGCUCGUCCCCGACUGCCACUCAUAAGGAAGACAAUCAAUAAAUAAAAUUGUGCUCCGACUUCAUCACAAGCGGUUCACCACACGUGCAUGCUACGGGAAUCACAAACUUCAAUGCAAGCAUUCUUUAAAUUCAUAAUUACCCCUACUAGCAUUGCUUUAAUAUUAUCACCUCCAUAUCUCAAAACAAUUAUCAAGCAUCAAACUUAUCUUAGUAUUCAACGCACUCAAAAGAAAGUUUCACAAAUCUUGAAUACCAAGUAUAUUAACUUUAAGCGAAUUACCAUGCUAUUAACAACUCUCAAAAUAAUCUAAGUGAAGCAUGAGAGAUCAAUAGUUUCUUUAAAACAAAUCCACCACCGUGCUCUUAAAGAUCUAAGUGAAGCACUAGAGCAAAAAUUAUUACGCUCAAAAGAUAUAAGUGAAGCACUAUGAGCAAAACUAUCAAGCUCAAAAGAUAUAAGUGAAGCACAUAGAGUAUUCUAGCAAAUUCCAAAUCAGGUAUGGCUCUCUCAAAAGGUGUGUACAGCAAGGAUGAUUGUGGCAAACUAACAAGCAAAGACACAAAUAAUAAAGACGCUCCAAGAAAAACACAUAUCAUGUAGUGAAUAAAAAUAUAGCUCCAAGUAAAUUACCGAUGGAAGUAGACGAAAGAGGGGAUGCCUUCCGGGGCAUCCCCAAGCUUUGAAUAUUUGGUGUCCUUGGAUUAUCUUGGGGGUGCCAUGGGCAUCCCCAAGAUUAGGCUCUUGCCACUCUUUGUUCCAUAAUCCAUCAAAAGAAUUCACCCAAAACUUGAAAACUUCACAACACAAAACUCAAUAGAAAUCUUGUGAGCUCCAUUAGUGAAAGAAAACAAAAGACCACUUCAAGGUAUUGUAAUGAACUCAUUCUUUAUUUAUAUUGGUGUUAAACCUACUGUAUUCCAACUUCCUUAUGGUUUAUAAACUAAUUUAUUAGCCAUAGAUGCAUUGAAAUAAGCAAACAACACACGAAAAACAGAAUCUGUCAAAAAACAGAACAGUCUGUAGCAAUCUGUAACUAACGCAAACUUCUGGAACUCUAAAAAAUUCUACCAAAAUAGGACGUACUUUAAAAUUUGUUUAUUGAUCAGCAGCAAAAAGAAUCAAUGCAAAAGCACGUUCCUGGGAUUUAUUGAAUUUUUUCUCGUGAGCGCAAAGUUUCUGUUUUUCAGCAGAAUCAAAUCAACUAUCAUCAUAGCUUAUCCUAUAGGUUCUACUUGGCACAAACACUAAUUAAAACACAAAACCACAUCUAAACAGAAAGUAGAAACAAAAUUUAGCACUAAACAGGAACAAAAACAAAGAACACAAAAUAAAAUUGGGUUGCCUCCCAACAAGCGCUAUCGUUUAACGCCCCUAGCUAGGCAUAAAAGCGAAGAUAGAUCUAAGUUUUGCCAUCUUUGGUAGGCAAUCCAUAAGUGGCUCUCAGGAUAGAUUCAUAUGGUAAUUUUAUUUUAUGUCUAGGGAAGUGUUCCAUACCCUUUCUCAAGGGAAAUUGGAAUCUAAUAUUCCCUUCCUUCAUGUCAAUAAUCGCACCAAUCGUUCUAAGGAAAGGUCUACGAAGAAUAAUAGGGCAUGACGGAUUGCAAUCUAUAUCAAGAACGAUAAAAUCUACGGGCACAUAAUUCCUAUUGGCAACAAUAAGAACAUCAUUAAUUCUUCCCAUAGGCUUUUUAAUAGUGGAAUCCGCAAGAUGCAAAUUUAGAGAGCAAUCUUCAAAGUCACGGAAAUCUAGCAAAUCACACAAAGUUUUGGGAAUAGUGGAGACACUAUCACCCAAAUCACACAAGGCAUGAAACUCAUAAUCUUUAAUUUUAAUUUUGAUAGUAGGUUCCCAUUCAUCAUAGAGUUUUCUAGGGAUAGAAACUUUCAACUCAAGUUUUUCUUCAUAAAAUUUCAUCAAGGCAUCAACAAUGUGUUCGGUAAAGGCCUUAUUUUGACUAUAAGCAUGAGGAGAAUCUAGCACGGAUUGCAACAAGGAAAUACAACCAAUCAAAGAGCAAUUUUCAUAAUUAAAUUCCUUGAGAUCCAAAAUAGUGGGUUUAGCAACAUCAAAUUUUUUAUUUCUUUCAAUCUCACUUUCAUCAAUUUCAUCAUCGAGAUCUAGAAACUCAGAAUUCUUAGGACGCCUUCUAGGUAAAGGAAGAUCAUAUUCAGUUUCAUCAAGAUUCAUAUUGCAAAACAAGGAUUUAAUAGGGGACACAUCAAUAACUUUUAGAUCUUCAUCUUGAUUUUCAUAAGAAUCGGAAGAACACGCUUUAAUAAAGCCAUCCUUGGAAGCACGCAUCCUGGCGGUUCUUUCCUUGCACUCAUCAAUGGAAAUUCUCAUAGAUUUGAGAGACUCAUUGAUAUCAUGCUUAGGAGGAAUAGAUCUAAGCUUUAAAGAAUCAAUUUAAAGAGAAAUUCUAUCAACGUUCCUAGCCAAAUCAUCAACCUUAAGAAAUUUUUCUUCAAGCAAAGCAUUAAAAUUCUUUUGUGAAUUCAUAAACUCUUUAACACUACUCUCAAAUUCAGAGGGCAUCUUAUUCCAUAAGAGUUGUUGUAGGAAUUUCCAUAAUUAUUAGAAGGAUUACUAGGAUAAGGCCUAGGAUUAAAAUUCCCUCUAUACGCGUUAUUUCCAAAACUAUUCCUUCCAACAAAAUUCACAUCCAAAGAUUCAUUAUUAUUCUCAAUCAAAGUAGAUAAAGGCAUAUCAUUGGGAUCAAGAGAAGUAUUUUUAGUAGCAAACAUCUUCAUAAGUUCAUCCAUCUUUUCACUCAAAACAUUGAUUUCUUCAAUAGCAUGCACUUUUUUACUGGAAGUUCUUUCGGUAUGCCAUUGAGAAUAAUUAGCCAUAAUAUUGUCAAGCAAUUUUGUAGCAUCUCCUAACGUAAUUUCCAUAAACGUGCCUCCCGCGGCCGAGUCUAAAAGAUUUCUAGAAGCAAAAUUUAAUCCGGCAUAAAAUUUUUGUAUGAUCAUCCAUAAAUUCAAACCAUGAGUAGGGAAAUUGCGAAGCAUCAAUUUCAUUCUUUCCCAAGAUUGGGCAACAUGCUCAUGAUCAAGUUGUUUGAAAAUCAUAAUAUCAUUCCUAAGAGUGAUGAGACGAAAAUAUUUAGAGAUAAAAGCAUCUUUGCACUUGUUCCAAGAAUCAAUACUAUUUUUAGGCAAAGACGAAAACCAAAUUUUAGCAUGAUCUCUAAGUGAAAACGGAAAUAACUUAAAUUUGACAAUAUUGUUAUCCGUAUCUUUCUUCUUUUGCAUAUCACACAAAUCAACAAAAUUGUUUAGAUGAGUAGCGGCAUCUUCACUAGGAAGGCCAGCGAAUUGAUCUUUCAUAACAAGAUUCAGCAAAGCGAUAUUGAUUUCACAAGACUCAGCAUUAUUAAGAGGAGCAAUCGGAGUACUAAGGAAAUCAUUAUUAUUGGUAUUCGAUAAAUCACACAAUUUGGUAUUAUCUUGUGCCGUGGCAACAAGUAAUCCAACACACAAGCAAAGGCAAACGAGACAAAGACGAAAAGGGAAGAAAGGAGGAGAUUGGGAAAGAGAGGGCGAAUAAAACGGCAAGGGUGAAGUGGGGGAGAGGAAAAUGACAAGCAAAUAAUGUAAUGCGAGAGAUAGGGAUUGUGAUGGGUACUUGGUGUAGUUUACUUUUGCACGAACUCCCCAGCAACGGCGCCAGAAAUUCUUCUUGCUACCUCUUGAGCACUGCGUUGGAUUUCCCCGAAGAGGAGAGGAUGAUGCAGUAAAGUAGCGUAAGUAUUUCCCUCGGUUUUUGAGAACCAAGGUAUCAAUCCAGUAGGAGACCACACACAAGUCCCUCAUACCUAUACAAAAUGAUAGCAACUCGCAACCAACGCUUAGGGGUUGUCAAUCCCUUCACGGUCACUUACGAGAGUGAGAUCUGAUAGAGAUAAUAUUUUUGGUAUUUUUGAUAGAUAGAUGCAAAGUAAAAAGUAAAAGGCAAAGUAAAACAAAGCAAGUAAAUAAAGUGAUAUAGAUUGAUAUGAUAAGAAUAGACCCGGGGGCCAUAGGUUUCACUAGUGGCUUCUCUCAAGAGCAUAAGUAUUCUACGUGGGUGAACAAAUUACUGUUGAGCAAUUGAUAGAAAAGCGAAUAAUUAUGAGAUUAUCUAGGUAUGAUCAUGUAUAUAGGCAUCACGUCCAAGACAAGUAGAUCGAAAUGAUUCUGCAUCUACUACUACUACUCCACUCAUCGACCGCUAUCCAGCAUGCAUAUAGAGUAUUAAGUAAAACAGAGUAACACUUUAAGCAAGAUGACAUGAUGUAGAGGGAUAGAUUCAUGCAAUAUGAUAAAAACCCCAUCUUGUUAUCCUCGAUGGCAACAAUACAAUAUGUGCCUCGCAACUCUUUCUGUCACUGAGUAAGGACACCACAAGAUUGAACCCAAAGCUAAACACUUCUCCCAUUGCAAGAACUACCAAUCUAGUUGGCCAAACCAAACGGAUAAUUAGAAGAGACUUGUAGAGAUAACUCAAUCAUACAUAAAAGAAUUCAGAGAAGAAUCAAAUAUUGUUCAUAGAUAAGCUGGAUCAUAAACCCACAAUUCAUCGGUCUCAACAAACACACCGCAAAAAGAAGAUUACAUCGAAUAGAUCUCCACAAGAGAGGGGGAGAACAUUGUAUUGAGAUCCAAAAAGAGAGAAGAAGCCAUCUAGCUAAUAACUAUGGACCCGAAGGUCUGAAGUAAACUACUCACACUUCAUCGGAGAGGCUAUGGUGUUGAUCUAGAGGCCCUCCGUGGUAGAUGCCCUCUCCUGCGGAGCUCCGGAACAGGCCCCAAGAUGGGAUCUCGCGGAUACAGAAGGUUGCGGUGGUGGAAUUAGGUUUUUGGCUCCGUAUUUGAUCUGACGGGGGUACGUAGGUAUAUAUAGGAGGAAGGAGUACGUCGGUGGAGCAACAGAGGGCCCACGAGGCAGGGGGGCGCACCCAGGGGUGGCCCUCCACCCUCGUGACCGACUCUGGCACUUCUUGGAGUAGGGCCCAAGUCUCCUGGAUCACGUUCGGUGAGAAAAUCACGUUCCCGAAGGUUUUAUUCCGUUUGGACUCCGUUUGAUAUUCUGUUUCUUUGAAAUACUGAAAUAGGCAAAAAACAGCAAUUCUGGGUUGGGCCUCCGGUUAAUAGGUUAGUCCCAAAAAUAAUAUAAAAGUGGAAAAUAAAGCCCAAUAUAGUCCAAAACAAUAGACAAAGUAGCAUGGAGUAAUCAAAAAUUAUAGAUACGUUCGAGACAUAUCAACAACUUGCUAGGGUUAGAGAGAAUGAACUUAUUGAAAAUGAAAUUAUUGAAGAUAGUGAUGAUGAAGGUUCUCCCCCUAAAUAUGAAUUGCCUGUUGUUCCUGAGGGUUAUUGUCGGUGUCAAAACCGGCGGAUCUCAGGUAGGGGGUCCCGAACUAUGCGUCUAGGCGGAUGGUAACAGGAGACAAGGGACACGAUGUUUUACCCAGGUUCGGGCCCUCUUGAUGGAGGUAAAACCCUACGUCCUGCUUGAUUGAUAUUGAUGAUGUGGGUAUUACAAGAGUAGAUCUACCACGAGAUCAAGGAGGCUAAACCCUAGAAGCUAGCCUAUGGUAUGAUUGUUGCUUUUCCUACGGACUAAAGCCAUCCGGUUUAUAUAGACACCGGAGAGGGCUAGGGUUACACAGAGUCAGUUACAAUGGUAGGAGAUCUACAUAUCCGUAUUGCUAAGCUUGCCUUCCAUGCCAAGGAAAGUCCCAUCCAGACACGGGACGAAGUCUUCAAUCUUGUAUCUUCAUAGUCUUGGAGUCCGGCCGAUGAUGAUAGUUCGGCUAUCCAAACACCCCCUAGUCCAGGACUCCCUCAGUAGCACCUGAACUAGGCUUCAAUGACGAUGAGUCUGGAGCGCAUGUUGUCUUCGGCAUUGCAAGGCAGGUUCCUUCUCCGAAUAAUUUAUAGAAGAUUGUGAACACCAGGAUAGUGUCCGGCUCUGCAAAAUAAAUUCCACAUACCACCGUAGAGAGAGUAAUAUUUACACAAGUUCAAUCUGCUGACGUAUUUGGUGGCGUGACGUCACACCACUACCAAGCCUUUACUCGAAUCGUUUUUAUUGUACCACCUCAACGUGUUUAGCGAAGCGGUUUCCUUGGCACGUCUUGUCGAAGCAGAGAUCGUGUUCCCCUUAUUCUGGGAUUCCCAUCAAUACGGACGUGGGUAACCCAACCGCGCCAUUGAUUGUGGCGCUUGGGAGAUAAGCGAGUUUUAUCAGGCCGGUGGGGACGCAUGUUUCCGUCCGCCCAUAUAAGGGGAUAAAGAUCCAACCCUUUUACCUGCACCUUCUUCCUCCUUGGCUUAUCCAUCUCCGCAAACUUGAGCUCCAGCACCCAAGUCCGCACAUCUCACCCCAACCUUCUCCAACUAUGUCCGGAGCGGGAGGCAAGUGGAUGGCCUCCUCCGUUACGGAGGGACACAUCCAGAAGCUGCACAGCGCCGGAUAUCUGUCCAGCGACAUCCCGCACCGGCUCCCCGACGAGGGAGAGCUCAUCCCCACCCCCAGGCCCCACGAGAGGGUAGUAUUUCUUCCCCAUUUUCUCCGCGGACUGGGCUUCCCACUCCAGCCCUUUGCCCGGGGGCUCAUGUUCUACUACGGCCUGGAUUUCCAUGAUCUGGCCCCGAAUUUUAUCCUCAAUAUCUGGGCAUUUAUCGUUGUGUGUGAGGCCUUCCUCUGCAUCCAGCCCCACUUCGGCUUGUGGCUCAUGACCUUCAGUAUCAAGCCGAAGGUGGUAAAGGGCAGCCAAGCGGAGUGCGGAGGCGCCAUGGUGGGCAAGAUGCCCAAUGUUACUUGGCUUGAGGGCACUUUCGUGGAAACCAUUAAGGGGUGGCAAUCGGGGUGGUUCUACAUCACCGAGCCGCGUGACCCUGAAUGGGCAGCGGCCCCCGAAUUCAGAUCUGGCAUCCCCAUACGGCUCACCUCCUGGAAAGAGAGCAGCCGGACAUGGGGUGAUUCGGAGGAGCUGACCGGACUCCAAGCCUGCAUCAAAAAGCUAGUGAAAAGGAAGCUCAAGCUUGUCAACGUAGUCCAGGUCAUGCUCAUCCGCCGGAUUCUCCCGUGCCAACGACGGGGCUUCAGUAUGUGGGAGUUCGAUUCGGCGCAGCACCAGACUUUGAGCGGGCUCUUCGACACUACGUACGAAGAUGUCUGGAGGGUGCUGUUUAAAGGUGCCGAGGCCCCCGCAUCCGCUACCGAAGAUCGUGGAUUCAGCUUGCAGAGUCCGGCUAGCGAGGUAAGCGAUUUUGCCCUUUACGGGACACUUGUUUUCCAUAGUUUGACUCUAUGCGGGAUCUAAACUCCCUCUCCUUUGACAGGACUAUGUGGAGAAGGCUGAACAGACUAUCUGUCCGGCCCCAUUGCUAGAGGACCCAGCGGACGCCCGCUUAACAGGGCUGCUGGCUCCGGCACCCCACGUGGUGCCGGAGAAGAAGGCCAAGAAGAAGGCCACGGGCACUCGGAAGAGUUCCCGUUUUCAGGUGUUGUCGGACGAUGACUCCGAGGCAGACUCCUCCCACAAAGGCGAGGAGGAAAAGAAGAAGGCCUCUCCCCCAGCUGGGGGAGGGAAGAAAAGGAAGGCUUCCCCAACGGGGGAGGCCGAAGGGUCCAAGAAGGGAAAGACUCUUCCCCCAGACUGCUCUGCCAACGCCAGUGAUGACGACGAGGAUUGGCCUCCAAGGGCCAAGCCCCUGGCAAGAUCGUAAGUAUCUAGACUCCCGAAUAACUUCAUGGUUUUUCUUUUCGAAACAUAGUGUCUUUCUAAUGCCGCAUACAACCCUGCAGUCCGCCCAAGGAUGAUUUUCCCGCUUCGUCGAGCGGGUCCUUGGGUGCGUCGGAUAUGGAUUCCCUUUCGACCGCCUCCACCCCCCGUGAUGCGGAUGAUGCCGAGGUGGGAUCCCGGGAGGGGACCCGCCAGGAGGAGGAGGCCCUGGAGGUGCCGCAUGGCAACCUCCCGUACUUUGCGCCGGACUCCGCACCGGAACCUGAAGUGGCUCCGGAGUCCGACAUGCGGCCCCUUCGUAAGAAGGGCAAGACCGUGACGCCAGCGGCCUCUUUCCAACCGGAGGCGCCGGAUAGCUUGCUGGAGGCGCUCAACGGCGCCUCCAUCAAAGAGGAACACCACACCUUCAUGAGUGCGGUGAUUCAGAAGGUUCAGCUCGCCAAGAGCGGGCUGACCGAAGCCUGUAGCAGCCUUCUAACAGGCUUUGAGGUAAGAAUUUUGAUAUAUGUAGAAUAGUACCGCAUAGACAGUAGCCCCUGAUGCUCGGUUCGGUAUUCGGAAAGAAAAGCCGGACUGAGGAUCUAAAAAGAUAUACGCAGGAGUCAUGAAAUAUGUCAAUAUGGGGUUGCAGGCUGUGCUGCUGACCUCUGCCGCACUGACUGCGGAGGUCAAUACUUUGAAGCAAAGCCUCGAGCGGUCUGAGAACGAGCUCAGCCGUGCCAAGAAGCAGCUCGAGGACAAGGAAGGUGAAUAACACCAUAUUAAGAUUGUACCUUACAGAAAAGGAUUUGGUUGCAAGAAAAUUGACAAGGAUAACGUGGGUAUUGCAGGUGCCACGACCGAGGUGGCGACCCUGAAGGAGGCGGUGUCCGCGGCCGAACGUAAUGCGGCCCUGGAGUGCACCGAGCGAGAGAAGUAGGAGGCGCGGGUGGCAGAGGUACAACAAGAGCUCUAGGAUCUCGUGGAAAAACAUGAGAGCCUGGAGCGUGACUUGAAGACUCGAGAGUCCGAGCUUGCAUCGGCUCUUGAGAGUGCCAAAGCCGCUAAUGCCGAAGCCUAGGCCCUCCAAGAAAUCAAGGCGUUGAAGAAAAUAGCAGCGAGUAAGGCAUUUUUCAUGCAAAGUAAGCAUGUGAGUGUGAAUUACCUGUCACUUACCCGAAUUCGGAGCUCUCCAGGAGCGUUUGCAGAUCUUCCCCGCAUCGUGUCCGAUGCUGCCGCUUUCUACUGGGCCGAGGAGGGGAGCUCAACGGAGAAGGUCUUCUGGUCUCAGUAUGUUGAGGCUGGACAUCCGGUGCCCCUUAGCGACCAGCUGAAGUAGCUGGUCGAGCUCCACAAGGUGGCCGAACAGGCCAUGAGGGGCCUCAUAGUUUGGCUGUGGCCUAAGGAGGCCGUGCCUGGGAGCUACUUUGGCCUGGUGCGGCGGCUGGUGGAUGCCUGUCCAUGGGUUGAAGUCAUUAAGCACUCCGCCUGUAUAGAAGGUGCCCGUCGGGCCCUUGCCCGCGCAAAGGUGCACUGGGGCAAGAUGGAUGCUGAGAAGCUUGUGACGGACACGCCACCGCUGGGCAAGGAGUAUCAUACGCCUGAGAUGUAUUAUAAGACUGUUCUGAAGGGUGCCCGCACUAUUGCGGGUGAGUGCUCCAAAGAUGUAAUAUUUGAGUAGACUUGCAUUUUGUUAUCCCGUGCGCUGAAAACUUCGUUCAUAUGCGCUAAGCAACACUUGUUAAUUUAAAAUAUUACCUUCUGUGCGGCCGUUUAUCAAAUCUGAGAGAUGGCAAGUCGUCGGCUUCGGCCCCCAUGCCACGAGUGCUGGGGUGUUCGGGAUAAAUUUGAGCACUCUUGUUCCCAUUUUUGGGUCCAUCUAGGGAGGCGCUCAACACAACAAACAAGGCAACCGGACUUAUAAUGCUUGAACACUCUCACUUAGCCAUAGAAUUCUAUGAUUUUAAAUUUCGGCGAAGCCCCUAGUGUUCGGAAGGCCGAAUUUGGGGCGCUAUCCACGCCUGGGCCGGACAAAGCCGGUUCCUCGCUCUAAGCGGCAUAAGUCUUUAGGGACUCGAAAAAACCUCUCGAACAGCGACCGGCUCUCGCCUCAUCAUGACGGUCAGUUUUAGCUUUCUCCACUGAGGCGCUCGCCCAGCUCAACUGGGGCGCAAUCGCAAUGGUUCUCCCAGUGCUACCUUAGCCGAUACAACGGAACAUAAGGUACCAAAACAUGGGAGCCGGGCAAACCCAACUAUUGACCCAAGACAUGAUUCGCAGCCGAUGCAUAUAAUGCUAUAAGUUCGGGGUGCCGCACUUGUGAAAGUGUUCGAACUUAUCGCACCAUGAUGCGGGAAACAUAAGCCCCUGGUGCAUUUAGCCAUACCAAAGUGUACGGAUGCAACAUGUCAUAAAUGAACAUAUGUAUAAGAAAGGAAUGCAAUUGUAAGCAAAAAGGUGCAUUGUUUAUUCAAGAAAUACUGCUGUGAAUGCAGAACGAUACAAAUGGUGCGAUAAGCAAGGGAUGGGACUAUUAAACAUGUCCCCCUCCAGGGGUAGGCUGCGGAAUGGUGUAUAAAACAGAUUUAAUGCUCAUAAUGGAGACCACCUGGAUAUUCGUCGUAGCCUUUCUCCUUCCCUGGCUGUUGCAUCGUGAGUUCGGUAGGUCUACUGCCGGACAGGGCCUCUGAUGAACGGGGUCCUGUGGGUAAAAAAAAGAAAAGAAAAAAAGAACGACACACUUGAGAGCCCCUGGUGUGGUUAAGCCGCAUUCUGGGCCUAUCGUGGUCGUGCCCCUCCCCCUAUGCCCAUGGUAUCUUCAGAGCGUAAUGAUGUACGCGAAGGACCCGUCUUGGAAUUUUGUAGGGGCUGGGGUUGGGGCCGCAUUGCUACGCAUGCUCAGAACGUGCUAGGUGGUCUUGUUGUAGGUUACUCCGGGCGCGUUUAGCCGUGUCCGGUCGCUUAACGGCCGGACUCGAGAAUUGCCUUAAGAGGCUGCACUGUACUUCUGUCGCGAGAGCCGCUGUAUGUUCCUCCGUUCGGAGAGAGCGUUCAGUAUUUCCAUUGACUGUGAUGACUCCUCGAGGGCUUGGCAUCUUGAGCUUAAGGUAUGCAUAGUGCGGUACCGCGUUGAACUUUGCAAACGCGGUGCGUCCGAGUAGAGCAUGAUAGCCGCUGCGGAAUGGAACUAUGUCGAAGAUUAACUCUUCGCUUCAGAAGUUAUCCAGGGAUCCGAAUACCACUUCCAAUGUAACUGAGCCUAUACAAUUGGCCUCUACACCUGGUAUGACGCCUUUAAAGGUCGUCUUUGUAGGUUUAAUCCUUGAGGGGUCUAUGCCCAUUUUGCGCACUGUAUCCUGAUAAAGCAGGUUCAGGCUGCUGCCGCCGUCCAUCAGGACUCUGGUGAGGUGAAAUCCAUCAACGAUUGGGUCUAAAACCAAUGUGGCGAAUCCGCCGUGGCGGAUGCUGGUGGGGUGGUCCCUUCGGUCAAAAGUGAUUGGGCAGGAGGACCAUGGAUUGAACUUCGGGGCAACUGGCUCCAUCGCGUAUACAUCCCUGAGUGCACGCUUCCGCUCCCUUUUGGGUAUGUGGGUUGCGUAUAUCAUGUUCACCGUCUGCACUUGUGGGGGGAAACCCUUCUGUCCUCUAUUGUUCGGCGGUCGGGUUUCUUCCUCGUGAUCGCCAUGCUGCCCCUUGUCGUUGUUUUUGGCAAUUAACUUUCCUGCCUGCUUGAAUACCCAACAGUCCCUGUUGGUGUGGUUAGCUGGCUUUUCAGGGGUGCCGUGUAUCUGGCACGAGCGUUCGAGUAUUCGAUCCAAAUUGGACGGACCCGGAGUAGUUCUUUUCAAUGGCUUUUUCCGUUGACCGGGUUUAGAGCCUCUGAAUCCGGCAUUGACUGCCGUAUCCUCACUAUUGUCGCUGUUAAUGCGGCGUUUUUUUUGUUGCGACGCGGCCUGCCAUUGCGGUCCUUGAUAUCCGGACUGCCAGAAUUUUUACUGAGGUUGUUGCUGCGUGCUAGCCAGCUGUCCUCACCCGCGCAGAAGCGGGUCAUGAGUGAUGUGAGGGCUGCCAUGGAUUUCGGCUUUUCCUGUCCCAGGUGCCGAGCAAGCCACUCGUCGCGGAUGUUAUGUUUGAAGGCCGCGAGGGCCUCCGCAUCCGGACAAUCGACGAUUUGAUUUUUCUUUGUUAAGAACCGUGUCCAGAAUUGUCUGGCCGGUUCGUCUGGCUGCUGAAUUAUAUGGCUUAGGUCGUCAGCGUCUAGUGGUCGCACGUACGUGCCUUAGAAGUUAUCGAGGAAUGCGGCUUCCAGGUCUUCCCAACUCCCAAUUGACUCUACUGGCAAGCUGUUAAGCCAAUGCGAGGCUCGUCCUUUAAGCUUGAGUGGGAGAUAUUUGAUGGCGUGGAGAUCAUCACCGCGGGCCAUGUGGAUAUGAAGGAGAUAGUCCUCGAUCCAAACUGCGGGGUCUGUUGUGCCAUCAUAAGAUUCAAUGUUCACGGGUUUAAACCCUUCGGGGAUUUGAUGAUCCAUUACUUCAUCUGUGAAGCAUAGUGGGUGUGCGGCGCCUCUAUACUGGGCGAUAUCACGACGGAGUUCGAAAGAGCUUUGUAUAUUUUGUUCGGCCCGACCGGACUUACUGUGUCCGGCGUGACGGUUGUCGUCGCGUAUCAUGGGGCACCCACGCGAUCCAUAGAUCGAUCUUGAUUGUCUUGCCUUAUCCUCCAAUAUAUCUCGCAAGUCCGGAGCAUUCCCCUGUGGCCUUAGGCUUUUCGAGCGAUGCCGGGGUACGGUUCUGGUGGAGGGCCUAGAGGCCUCUCUGUCGCGGCCACAGGGUGGUCGGUCAGCCAUAUUGUCUGCUGGUGAUGCAGGUUCAUAUGCCUCCUCCUCUAAUCGGGGGAGCAGCUUGCGUUUAGGGUAGCUUUUGGAGGGGCGGUCGAGCUCAUGCUCUUCGGCCGCAAGGACUUCAGUCCAUCUGUCGGCUAGCAGAUCUUGAUCAUCUCUAAGCUGCUGCUGCUUUUUCUUGAGGCUGUUUGCCGUGGCCAUAAGCCUGCAUUUAAAACACUCUUGUUCGACGGGAUCCUCAGGCACGACGAAUUCGUCAUCGUCGAGGCUUGCCUCGUCUCCGGAGGGAGGCAUGUAAUCCUCUACUUCUUCGUCUGCUGCUUUCUCAUGAGGGAUGGCGUCUCCAUCCUCCUGCGCUGAAUCUUGCUGGAGGGGGUUGUCUUCGGCACUGUCUGGGGUGUUAUUAUCUCCGGUGCCGGAAUCUCCAUUCUUGUUGUGGCGGGAUUUAGAGCGGCGCCGCUGACGCCGACGCUUGGGCUGUUUCUUGGAGGGGUCAUCCUCCGCUGUUCCUUCGCCAUUCCCAUCCUUUGGGAUAUCCACCAUGUAUAUGUCAUAUGAUGAGGUGGCUUUCCAGUGCCCAGUAGGCGCUGGUUCUUGGUCGUCUCCAACAUCGUCGUCCAUACCGUCGAUGUCUUCGGAGUCGAAGUCUAGCAUGUCGGUUAGAUCAUCGACAGUGGCUACUAAGUGGGUGGUGGGUGGGCUUUGAAUUUCUUCGUCGUCCGCAUCCCAACCGUCCUAACCGCAGUCCGACCAGGGCUCUCCUGAUAACGAGAGAUAUUUUAGCGAACUUAAGAUGUCGCCAAAAGGUGAGUGUUGAAAGAUGUCCGCAGCGGUGAACUCCAUGACCGGCGCCCAGUCGGAUUCGAUUGGAGGGGGCACGGGAGGUUCGGAGUCCGGCGAGGAGUCCGGCACCUCAGAGUCACGAGAUUCAUGAGGGACAAGAUCAGUGUUCGGCUCUAUCGCCGUAGAGGUUGUCGCCCCCGAGGCGGUGUCUAGCCACCCGUCCUCGAUCUGCAUAGCCGGCUCCGAAUUGAAGGUCGGAGCGGACUCAUGUGCGGCCUCCAGGUUACUGUCCGUCUGCAGAGCUGAGUCAUGCCCGUCGUGAUAGUGCGGCGUGCUCGGCUGUGGCUCGAAUCCAUCAAAGAUCAAGUCCCCGCGGAUGUCAGCCGUGAAGUUCAAACAUCCAAAUCUGACCUGACGGCCAGGGGCGUAGCUUUCGAUCUGCUCCAGAUGGCCAAGCGAAUUGGCCUGCAGUGCAAAGCUGCCGAAUACGAAGAUCUGUCCGGGGAGGAAGGUCUCACCCUGGACUGUGUCGUUGUUGAUGAUCGAAGAAGCCAUCGAGCCUAUCGGUGACGACACAGAGGAACUCUCAAUGAAAGCACCAAUGUCGGUGUCAAAACCGGCGAAUCUCGGGUAGGGGGUCCCGAACUGUGCGUCUAGGCGGAUGGUAACAUGAGACAAGGGACACGAUGUUUUACCCAGGUUCGGGCCCUCUUGAUGCAGGUAAAACCCUACGUCCUGCUUGAUUGAUAUUGAUGAUGUGGGUAUUACAAGAGUAGAUCUACCACGAGAUCAAGGAGGCUAAACCCUAGAAGCUAGCCUAUGGUAUGAUUGUUGUUUUUCCUACGAACUAAAGCCAUCCGGUUUAUAUAGACACCGGAGAGGGCUAGGGUUACACAGAGUCGGUUACAAUGGUAGGAGAUCUACAUAUCGUAUUGCCAAGCUUGCCUUCCACGCCAAGGAAAGUCCCAUCCGGACACGUGACGAAGUCUUCAAUAUUGUAUCUUUAUAGUCUUGGAGUCCGGCCGAUGAUGAUAGUUCGGCUAUCCAGACACCCCUUAGUCCAGGACUCCCUUAGUUAUGUUAUGGAUGAAGAAACUGCUAGAGAUUUUCUUGCUUGCAAUGUUAGAUCCGACCUUAAGAAGUUAUUAGCUAAACUAAAACAGAAAACUCUGAAUGCUAGAAUGAAAUAUGACCCUGCUUUUGCUACUUCACCUAUCCUUGUUACUGAUAAGGAUUAUGAAUUCUCUGUCGAUCCUGAGAUAAUUACUUUGGUUGAAUAUGAUCCUUUUUAUGGCUAUGAAUCUGAAACUGUUGUGGCACAUCUUACUAAGUUAAAUGAUAUAGCCACCCUGUUCACUAAUGAUGAGAAAUCUCGCUACUACUAUAUCCUUAAGAUAUUCCCAUUCUCAUUAAAGGGUGAUGCUAAAAGUUGGUUUAAUUCUCUUGAUCCUGGUUGUGUGCAUAGUCCCCAGGAUAUGAUUUAUUACUUCUCUGCUAAAUAUUUCCCUGCUCAUAAGAAACAAGCUGCCUUGAGGGAAAUAUAUAAUUUUGUGCAAAUUGAAGAAGAGAGUCUCCCACAAGCUUGGGGGAGGCUUCUCCGAUUGCUUAAUGCUUUGCCUGAUCAUCCUCUUAAGAAAAAUGAAAUACUUGAUAUAUUUUAUAAUGGACUAACUGAUGGUUCCAAGGACCACUUGGAUAGUUGUGCUGGUUGUGUUUUCAGGGAAAGAACAGUCGAUCAAGCUGAAUUGCUAUUGAAUAAUAUGUUGACUAAUGAAAAUAAUUGGACUCUUCCUGAGCCAACUCCUGAGAUAAUUCCUGAGCCAACUCUUGAGCCAACUCCUAAACCAACUCCGAAGAAGAGGGGUGUUUAUUUCUCAGUCCUGAAGAUAUGCAAGAGGAAAAGAAAUCUAUUAAAGAAAAAGGAAUUAAAGAUGAAGAUGUUAAGAAUUUACCUCCUGUUGAAGAAAUACAUGGUCUUAAUAUACCACCUAUUAAAGAAACACAUGGUCUUGAUAACCCGACACAGGUAGUAAAGGUAAAUUCUCUCUAUAGAUAUGAUAAAUUUGAAAUCCCGUCUACUAAGUUUGCUAGCCAAUGCUUGGAUGAAUUUGAUGAUUUUAUGGCUAGACAAGAAAAUUUCAAUGCUUAUGUUGGUAGAGAAUUAAAGAGUAAAGCUUACAUGAUUGGACACUUGAGUGAUUAUAUGGCUAGAGUUAAAGGUGAACUUAAACUCAUUAGUAAGUAUGCUUCUAUGGUUACCACUCAAGUAGAACAAGUACUUAAAGCUCAAAGUGAUUUGCUCGAUGAAUUAAAUAAUAAACAUGAUUUUGCUGUUAGAUUGGCUACUAGAAAGGGUAAUAUGACUCAGGACCUGUGUAUCCUGAAGGCCAUCCUAAGAGAAUUGAGCUAGAUUCUCAGAGAAAUAAUUUAGACGCACCUAGUCCUUCUAAAAAGAAGAAAAAGAAAAAUGAUAGGACUUUGCAUGCUUCUAGUGAACCUAUUGUAGACACACCUGAUAAUCCGAAUGAUAUUUCUAUUUCAGAUGCUGAAACACAAUCUGGUGAUGAACAUGAACCUAGUGAUAAUGUUAAUGAUAAUGUUCAUGUUGAUGCUCAACCUAGCAAUAAUAAUGAUGUAGAGAUAGAACCUGUUGUUGAUCUUAAUAACCCACAAUCAAAGAAUCAACAUUAUGAUAAGAGAGAUUUUGUUGCUAGAAAGCAUGGUAAAGAAAGAGAACCUUGGGUUCAGAAACCCAUGGCUUUUCCUCCUAAGCCAUCCAAGAAAAAGGAUGAUGAUGAUUUUGAGCGCUUUGCUGAAAUGAUUAGACCUAUCUUCUUACGUAUGCGCUUAACUGAUAUGCUUAAAGUAAAUCCUUAUGCUAAGUACAUGAAAGAUAUUAUUACAAAUAAAAGAAAGAUACCGAAAGCUGAAAUUUCCACCAUGCUUUCUAAUUAUACUUCUAAAGGUGGAAUACCUAAGAAACUUGGAGAUCCAGGAGUACCAACUAUACCAUGCUCCAUUAAAAGAAACUAUGUUAAAACUGCUUUAUGUGAUCUUGGAGCCGGUGUUAGUGUUAUGCCUCUCUCUUUAUAUCGUAGACUUGAAUUGAAUAAGUUGACACCUACUGAAAUAUCUUUGCAAAUGGCUGAUAAAUCAACUGCUAUGCCUGUCGGUAUUUAUGAGGAUGUGCCUGUUGUGGUUGCAAACAUUACUAUUUUAACGAACUUUGUUAUCCUUGAUAUUCCCGAGGACGAUAGUAUGUCGAUUAUCCUUGGUAGACCAUUUUUGAAUACUGUAGGGGCUGUUAUUGAUUGCAACAAAGGCAAUGUCACUUUUCAUGUUAAUGGUAAUGAGCAUACGAUACACUUUCCGAGGAAACUACCUCAAGUUCAUAGCAUCAAUUCUAUUGGAAAAAUUCCAUCAAUUAUUAUUGGAGGUUUUGAAUUUCCUCCUCCUACUGUCAAGAAGAAAUAUGACAUUCUUAUUAUUGGGGAUGUGCAUAUCCCCGUUGAGGUAUGUAGGAUCGAAAGUAUGUCUAGAGUGGGGGUGAUUAGACUACUUGACCAAACAAAAAUCUAGCCUUUUCCCAAUUUUAGUUCUUGGCAGAUUUUAGCAACUUAGCACAAGUCAAGCAAUCAACCUACACAUGCAAUUCUAAGAGUAUAGCAGUGGAAUGUAAAACAAUUGCGUAUGAAGGUAAAAGGGAGGAGUUUGAGGAAGCAAACGCAAUGUUGACAUAGAGAUUUUUUAUCCGUGGUUCCGAUAGGUGGUUCUAUCGUACAUCCACGUUGAUGGAGACUUCAACCCAUGAAGGGUAAUGGUUGCGCGAGUCCACGGAGGGCUCCACCCAUGAAGGGUCCACGAAGAAGCAACCUUGUCUAUCCAACCAUGGUCGUUGCCCACGAAGGACUUGCCUCACUCGGGUAGAUCUUCACGAAGUAGGCGAUCUCCUUGCCCUUACAAAUUCCUUGGUUCAACUCCACAAUCUUGACGGAGGCUCCCAAGUGACACCUGGCCAAUCUAGGAGACACCACUCUCCAAGAAGUAACAAAUGGUGUGUUGAUGAUGAACUCCUUGCUCUUGUGCUUCAAAUGAUAGUCUCCCCAAAACUCAACUCUCUCUCACAUGAUUUGGAUUUGGUGGAAAGAAGAUUUGAGUGGAAAGCAACUUGGGGAAGGCUAGAGAUCAAGAUUUAUGUGGUAGGAAUGGAAUAUCUUGACCUCAACACAAGUGUAGGUGGUUCUCUCUUAGAAAAUGUAUGUUGGAAGUAUAGGCAUGUUCUGAUGGCUAUCUCCAUGAAUGAAGAGUGGGUGGAGGGGUAUAUAUAGCCUCCACACAAAAUCUAACUGUUACACACAACUUACCAAACUCGGUGGGACCAAAUCGUGAAACUCGGUCAGACCGAUUUAGUUCAUAAUGUGAUCGUUAGGCAUUUCGGUGGGAACAAUACGUCAACUCGGUGGGACCAAUAUCGUUAGGGUUAGGGCAUAAUGUAAUCUUGGUGAGACCGAUUACACAAAUUCAGUGAGACCGAUUUUGGUAAUAGACAAACAGAGAGUUGGUCAGGCAAACUCGGUGGGACCGAUUCGCUCAUCUCGGUUGGACCGAAAUGUUACGAAAGGGAAACAGAGAGUUUGCAUUGCAAGGUGGGACCGAUCGCUCAUCUCGGUUUGACCGAAACGUUACGAAGGGAAGCAGAGAGAUUACAAUCCCAUCUCGGUGAGACCGAAAUCCCUAUUAGUGAGACGGAAAAGACUAG
rnacentral:lncRNA from 1 species